UUUUUUUUCUCUCCUCCUUUUAGAGUAGCAUUGUGCCCCGCAAAUUGAGUGGUCAAUGCUUUGCAUGCAUUAGGAACCUAAAGAAUAGUUAGUUUACGCACAGACUCUUAACUACAUAAGUAUAAUUGGUAUCUGUUUACUUUUCCCCCAGUUGAUGGUAGAAGUAAUUGGAAAUAGCAACAAAUCGAGUAUAAGCCAUGUAGGCCAUUACCCGUACCAUCUCGCAUAAACUCUUAACUAUAUAAAUAUGAUUGGUAUCUGCUCACUUUUUUCCUAGCUGAUGGUAGAAGUAAAUUGGAAGGGCAACAAAUAGAGUAUAGAAUAUAGAUCAGAUAGGUCAUUAUCUGUACCAUCUCAUACUUAUCUCGAGGCAAAGCAAAAUGAGUAGAGUUUGAUGAAGAAGUUGGAUGGAUCGGAUCAAGUAAAGCCAUAAAAAUUAUUUUUUUAUAUACAAAUCAAACAAAUCAAAAUGAAUAUAAAAAUAAAUACUAAUGCUUCACAUAAUAUUAAACAAAAUAAGAAUGAAAGAUGUAGAAUAUAACGAACCAAAUUUUCAACAAAACAAAAAAUAUAACAAAUAAAAUAUUAUGUUUUAAAAAUCAAAUAUUUCUUAAAUUAAAAAAAGUAAUUAAUUAAAAAAAAUAAUCACCAUGGGAUGUAAGGUUUUACAUGUUCAAUCUUUCUCAUGAGUGAAACGACCGGGAAAGAGGGCAAGGAAGAAAUUUGAAAAGAGAUAUAUACCAAGGUUAGAUUUUGGGUAGAUUCUACCAUUACUCACACUGAACUCUAAUCCGCUGCAACCCGUCGGGUAGGAUACUCGAUGAUGCAGAGUAAAUUGCCACCCCUCAAAGUAAUAAACUGGACAAAUUAUUUACAAGCCAUGGCCAUAAAGAGUGUAAGAAUUUUAAAGAGUCAUUUCUUGCCGGAUAUUUUUUUUCAUAUAUUUGCUAACUUGCUUCUCAGAUUGACGAGAUUUAAAUUUACAUACUAAUAAAUUAUGACCAAAGUUGUAUAUACACAGACAUGAAAAUCAAACUCAAACAUGUGUCCAAGUAUUUAACCUGACAAGCAAAGAAAAAAGAGAUACAGAGACGUAAAAAAUCAAGUUACGUGUAUACAUAUACAACAAAUUAUUAAAAAUAUUAAUUAUUAUCUUUCAACAUACCCAUUUUUCAUCCAAACUUCUAAAUUAGUUUAAAUUUUUUUAAAAAAUAAUUUAUAAAAUUUUAUUUUAAUAUAUGCAUUCUUAUCCAAUCUCCAAAAAAAAAACAAAAUAUCAUUUUGAAUACUAUUAUAACAAAUCAAACUAAUUAUUGGAAAAGUGAACCCUUUUAACAAUUUUUAAACACCGAAACUAAUAAAUUUUGAUGAGCACCCCCAUAUUCAGCUCGGACACAUGUUAGCUAUGGAUUCUAGGAGCUGGAUGCAAGUAUCCCAGCAACACAUCUUAUGACCAUUUUUAACAUUUCCAACAAUAUAACUAAUGACACUGAAAGUUUCAGAUCCCCUGUAGCGUUUGCCGAAAAAUCAGAUAGAAAAGUCAAAUCCUGGUCUACAUUAACUUCAUCUUUUCAGUUUUGAAAACUUUGUUCGGUACGUCCUUAUAUAACCAGAGAACCUGGACAUAAUUGCAAAACUGAGUUACAAGAACCACAUGGAAAUUCCUACCUGCCGACAACAAACCAAGCAUCAACAAUAGUAAAGCAUACACAAAUUUAAUCUAAGGAGAUGUGAAAUCUCCCAACAUCCAGCUCUAACUAGACAUGUCAGUCUGGGGCCAAAAGGUAGGAAAGUAUCUAGCAAAUCUCCAUCCCAAACCAAUAUUUUAAUCAGUAAAGUCAAGACAGAUAUUAUGUGCACAGAAGAGAGCCUGUAAAAUUUGAAUCAUUUUACUAUGACGAGAAAUGCUAAAUCUAUACUUUUCAGUGGAUUUAUUCCAUUCAUCUGCACAUAUAUAUUGCAGACUCAGAACUUCAAUUUAUAAAAACCAUACAAAUUCACAUUCUAUUUUCAUCUGCCCUAUCAAUUCAAAAUAGCAUUAUCCAUUCAUAUCUCUAAUCAUAAGUCAACUAACCACACAAGGACAACUGCCCCAUCAGUCUCUAUACUCCAAGGUCGAGUUUUUCAAAUCUAGACAUCAUUUAAAAAGAGAAAGCAAACCACACAACACAACGUCACUGGAAAAAGUUCUUAUGGCAAUGUCAACAAGAAAAUAAAUGAAAGAAUGUGUGACUCAGUAAAUUAAUUCACCUCCAGAUCAGCAUUGAAACUCUCAUUAAAUACUAGAACAUAAAAAGAUACAGGCAUACAGCAGAAGCAUGUGGUUCUUCACACUCAGUAUAGAUGAUGGAUUGUUGUCGCUCAGCCUUGUUUUUAGAAACCCAGUAUCCCAUGAAAACAGAGGCAGGAGACCACAGUGAGGAGCAAGUUGAAGGCAUAUGCAGCAUUCGUUGAGCUCCUUGAUCUUACCCCAGAAACAAAUAAUCCAUUGCAUGAUGCUCAUUAAAGAUGAUCAAUUGGUGUGAAAGGAACAGCCUUGGUUUUGGAAACCCAGUAUCCAAUGAAAACAGACAUGCAGAAGGAGACCACAGAGAGGAGCAAUGCGAAGGCAGUGGCAGCAUCCCAUGAGCUGCUCGAUCUUACCCGGGAAACAGAUGGUCCAUUAGGUGAUGCAAUAUCUACAGGCAGCCAGUUGCAACUAGCUGAAUAGUGUUGUGACCCACUCCAUGGAUUCCCAGGUGUUGGGUACCAGAAAGCAACAGCCAUCUUGCUGGCCUGACUGAUUGUAAACUGAACAUCCUGCAUUUCAAGGUGGGUGGACGUAUUAUAAUGUUUUGUUCAUAGGCAGCAAUUUGUAUCAGCCCAAAAUAUCAAGCAAUAAAGGAAAGUGAAUCAAAAGUAUAGAGGUAUACCUGUUGGAAACGAUCCAUUGUCCUCAACGGUCUUGAGAACUCAAAAAUGUAGGUGCCCUUCUGAUCACUUCUUGCAUAAGGGCUGUCUUCUUCCAAAUAGCCUGUCAGGGGGAAGUCAUAAAGAAAGGAUAAAGAUAGAGCAGCCAAUAUAAUAUAAGAAUUAGUGUAACAGUAAUUCUGGAAAAAAAUUAGUACCAAGUUUAAAGGUACAAGAAGAUAAUAUGUGAAUAGUAAUACAAAUUACAAAAGUGACAAAGACUAUUGCAUCAAGUCCACCCUCUUAGAAAAAUGCUGUACGGGUUAGAUGUCUGAGUUGUUGAGAAGGAUUUCUCCAAACUUCUAUGGACAAAAUUUAUGCUUUAGCAGCUAUGAACUAAGAAUUUGAGAGCAAGGGGAAAGAAAUCGCUAUUUAAGCAUUGGUUAUAGAGAAACAAUAAGAUGAAACCUGAGUUAGAUCUUAAAAUAUUACACAGUAAUUGAUAGUCAGUCGCAGGUGCCAAUUUUGCUCCAUAAAGAGAAACUUUCAAGACAUCCAUUCUGCUUUCUCAUCUUGAUAAGGUGGUAUUUGUACUUGUAAAUGGUUGUCAUAUUUCUACACAAUAAACUGAUGAAAUACAAUUAUAAAAUAAUAUCCUAAAGAAAGAUAUUCUAGAUGCAACAAGAGGACAAAGCAACUGUGCCUUGGGUAACCUCCCACAGAACAAUUAGCUGGGAGGAUAUGAGCAAUUUUGGAUGGUAUGCAAUCAAACCCAGCUUUCAUAUACAACAAAACUGGACAUUAACAAAUGCAUAUGUCAUCAAUUGGUUUCCACUGACGAACUAUUAAUAAUGGAUUAAGUCCUAUCUCUUUGGGCAAAGUAAACCUAAGGGAUUUUCAAAAAAAUCCAAUAGCGAUACUCUAUGGCAGAAAACAUGUAGUUUGAUCCUCACUGAAACUACAGCAUCCUUUCUCACUCCAUCCACCAGAAUCCUCACUGAAACUAUGGCAUCCUUCCCUCUAACCUAAAGUUUCCGAAACUUGCAUUUUGAUUAUUUGUUUGCAGUGUAAAAGCACUAGAAAUCAUUUGGCAGAAAAAAUAGUAACUCCAUGCGAAUCUUCACAAAUGAAAAUCAUCUAUUGAUAUGUAAGUUAGAUUUCGCUUUCUUUUCUGGGAAGCAUUCAAUAUUCUAUCACACAGAUCUUUAGAAUUUCACCCUUCAUAUUUAUGUUUUCUUAAUAGCAUUUUCAAAACCUAUUAUUCAAAUUACCUGAUUCAAUAGAAAAUGGAGAGAAUAUAUACGGCCUUCCAUCUGGUUUACUUUAUAUAUCAUAAAGAGACUGAUACAUGCGCUAGUCUUAAAUGGUUUUCAGAAUUUUUUAUUGCAGGUAUCAAGCUCACAUAUUUGCAACAAUAGCGUGCAUUUUUUUUAGUUGUUUUCUCUCAUUUUAGUUUGAGUUAAAAAGAAAUAAAGUCCUUAUAUCUAUGAGUUGCCAGGGCUUCAUUAAUUUAAAAUAUGGUUCCAAAUUUCCACGGCAAAAAACUUGACUCUAUAAGGAUGCAACUUUCAGAAUAUAAAUCAAUCAAAGACGUGCAGUAGUUAGCUUUUGGUUUCAAGGCUUACAUUAAGCCAUAAAGCCCAGUGCCUUAACCCAUAUAGACUGGACAAUUUUGUUAGUGACUGUUGGCCUUAAAUAUGUGAUCACAAUUAGUAUGAUAUUGUCCUUUCCUCUAAAGGAUAAGAUUUAGACGGUUGAUUAGAUUAGGAAAAAAAUGUGUUCAAAUGAAUGAUUAGAAAGUUUUUGGUUUAACUCUUUGAGACUCUACAAAUUCCAAGGUCUCAGCUCUGAAAGGAAUUUAUUUAUUUAUUUUUUGUACUUCAAAUAAAUAGCAUGCUUCCUAAAAGAUUUCUUUUACUUCAUCCUACAUAAAGAAGACUGCACUAGAUGGGUUAAUGCGAACCCAAACCAACUUAAUGAUGUGACUCCAACAUACGAUCCUUCAAGGUUUCUUUUAUAAUUAAAAAGAGCAAUGUGACUUCUCCAUCGCCUUUUAUCUUUUACUGCAUUUGUUCUUCUGUGGUUUAGAAACACACCCCUUUUACUGCCUAUAAAUAGAGGAAAUAAAUCCCUUGCUAUUUCUAGGUGAAAACUUCUGGAAAAAAAGAUAAUAACACAAAAGUUGCAUAAGAACAUGGAUAUCUUAAGUAUAGCCUAGGUGAUCCUUAAUAGUAACCUCUCAUAAUCCAACGUUUGCAUUUUCAAUUUUAUACUAUUCAUGAAUUGCGUCAAAAAAUGAAAUUUAAUUGCUAUCACCAGAUAACAGAACAAUAAAUCAAGAUAGAAAGUUGCAUCACUGCAGGAACUGAUAUAUCACCAGGAUACUUCAAUGGAAAGUGUUAUAUGUGUAAUCUUAUUCUAACAUUACCAGAUAAAAGAAAGUCGUUAAUUAGUAGAGGAAGCACACCUGAAUGAAAUGUUAGGCUACUGUGCCACCAAGCGCCGUGCCAAUCGUUUUGAGCAUUUGAGCCAUUUCCUGAGAAUUGUGAGGACAAAUUACCCAAUUUUUCCGCAUAUUUCAAUGGAAUGUUCAAAUUGAUUGGAAAGGAAGCAUGGGUAAGUGAGUAAAAACAAAUUUCUUAAAAAACAAGCAAGGCGAAAUACACUACAGUCCCAAGAAAGUAACUCCAACAAACAGAGCUACUAAAGAUAAAGAUAAGAGCAAAUCAGAAACAUAUAAUAGACAAAAUAAAGAGAAGACACAAAAAGAGCAAGCACAAGAAAGAGACACGGCAAGCUACUUAAAUAUCCUUUCUAGAUGGAUACAAAAAGAAAAGAAUGUUAUCUUGGCAGCUCAUCAUCUUAAAAUGCAUAAAAGACAUGAUAUCAUGGGAAUCAACAUGAAAGUACAACAAUUUUAAACAAAUGAAUCGACAAUAUGUGACCAUGUGCUGACUAGCUUUCUUAAAUAUGUAUCCCCAUUCUAAAAUGUAGGAUUACCUGGACCCUUUCCAUCAAGGUAUCGACAAUGUGGGUUCCAUGCAUAUACAUCAACCAGAUGACCAAACCUGUCAAAAACAUUUAGGGGCUCAAAACUUUAAACCGAUAUUGAAGAGUCAAAGGAGUCAGCUAAACUACAACAAGAAAGAACAGCGAUAUACCUAUCAUUUCCAUUUCCAUCAUUAUUGUCUAUAAGAUUGCCGCCAUAUAACCGUCCAGGAAUAGCAUUUCCAAUUGAAAAAUGCAUAAUGUCCACUUCAUGGCCGCGGCAGCUUUUAUUGGUGCAUGUACCAGGCAUGUCUACACACCCUCCCAUCUAGAAAAAAAGAAUGUUUUCAUUAAUGGGUGACAGUUAAAGUAGGACCAUACAGGAAUUAGACUUAGCAAGAGAUAUCUAACACAAGUACCUAAAAUAUGUGUAAGCACAUAUGAAUAAAUAAGCAAGGGGAACCAGAAACACUUACAUUAUGAUAUGAGGCGUUCUCCCCAACUUGAAACAUGAGAGCAACGGAGGGACAUUUUGUGUUUUCACUGUAUUUUACCAGAAAAAACAGUAAGAUAUGAGCACAAUAAAGCAGGCCUAACUUCCCAUAUAUUGGAUGGACAAAAAGGAGCUGCACUUCUCAGAUUUCAUUGUAUGCCCAUUGGACUUAGCAAGUAACUGCGCGUGAUAACGACAAGGCCAGUUUUGUUCCAUGGAUUAGAGUAUGCACAAUUAUGUAAUACAAAUUCAGGCUAUAACAUAACAGGUAACACAACAAAUCUAGAACUGGAUAAAAGAAAUGAAGCUUAGAGUAGUACUUAUACAGGAUAUAGUGAAGGGAAAUCAAAUAAGAUAAAUAAACCAAUAAGUGGGGCCUAGCAAAAGAGAUCUUGAGCAAUUCAAAGUUAAGAAGGAAGAGCAAGAAGACUUUAGUGGAAAGGUAACUAUGAUAGAUUACCAUGGAUAAGGAUAUGUCUCUUCAUUUGAAAUGAACUGAGAGGCAGGAUUUGUAAAGCAGAGUACAAUAGAAGGGACACAAUUCAUUGGUUAGGUUAUGGAUGAAUGUCGACCAAAAAGCACAAUAAAUUGAAAAUAUAGCAAUAAAAUAAAACAUGCCUACCUGAAUUGAAUAAUGUUGAAAAAGAAAGAAUAAGAAUUAAAACCAAGAUCAUAAUAGGCACACAAGGGAAGUAUAUUGACAGAUAACAAAUUUGAGCCUGAUUACAUUAAAGACAAACAGUACACAACUUUUUUGCUGAACGGAAUGACAAGAAAAUCACAGAAGAAAAGAAGAAUGGGAAGCAAACAAAUCUUACAUUAUGAAUUUUAAAUAAAUUACACUAAAUCUCAACUAAAUUGGAAAAUGAACUUAUAUGCUAGAAAUUAAAAAAUAGAUAUACAAAAAAAAAACAAAUGCUUACCCCUUUGAGUAUGCAAACUCCCCAUCAACUUGUAGCAUGAAAAAAACAUUACUACCAUCAUGCACAGCCUGCAAAUCCAUUGAUAAGCAACAACAUCAAUUCCAAAAGAAGAGUCAUCUAUAAUUAAUUCAUAUCCACCACCAAAACAUGGGGAAACAUGCAAAUAUAUAAAUACAUACCAAUAUGGAAGCACAUGAAUGCCAUUUUACAAUGAACUUAAAAGACUAAAUGGGUCCUCAUAGAAGCAUUACUAGUGAUUUGAAGUUUUGGACACUUCGCAUAAAUAAACCAUAUAUAUAUAUAUAUAUAUAUAUAUAUAUAAGAGAGAGAGAGAGAGAGAGAGAGAGAGAGAGAGAGAGUACGUNNNNNNNNNNNNNNNNNNNNAAUAACUAAUAUAUAUAUAUAUAUAUAUAUAUAUAUAUAUAGAGAGAGAGAGAGAGAGAGAGAGAGACUUGGCUGCACCUUGAGUGGAUCUCCACUCAGGUCUAGUCUGGUCUAGAUCACAUGACGGGGUCUCAUACCAAUGAUCUGAGUUAUUGGAUGUAAUCUACUAUGCUUAUACAUUAAAAAUCAAAUGAAAUAGAGACCCUUAGCAUCAAGUGGUCAAAAAAUUGGAUAGAUUAAAUAAUAUGAAAUAACAACAUAUUUUUCUGACAAUUCGAUGCACAGACCAGGAGUCUUCAAAUCACAUAAUUUUAUAUAUGUGAGCAGUUUAGAUGUAAUAGAUCAUAUUCAGCAACUCAGAUCAUCGAUGUAGGACCCCAAUUAUCCGACCUAGACCUGACUGGAUAUGAAUGGAGAUCUCUGCGAGAUUGUAUAGAAAAUACCGAUAUUGUACUAACACGGUACCAAUACAGGAUCCGGCACAGAGAUUGUGAACCUUAGUUUACUAGUUUAAGGUUAACAGAAUUAACAAAUAAUUCAUGCAAAGUCUUGAUCAGACAAAUACUAACUCAAUUCAAAAACACAAAAAAAAAAAAUGUAACCUGCUAGAUUAGAAAUUAGAAACUCAAAAAGCAUCUAGAAACAACUACUUAGGAUUCAACAAGUCAAAGCAUGGUGUUGGACAUCAGAAGGAAACUCAAACAUUGUAACACCCUAAAAAAGGAUGAAAUUCAACAACUGCAUUAGUUACUAAACAAUCAAAAUCAUUAAUUGUCAACUAUUCAAUGCUAUUAUUCUCCUUAUAUUCCCUAAAAAAUACUUUGUCAAAAUAUUUAAUCAAAUGAUCCAAGUCUAUUCCACUUGGUAUAACACAAGAAAAGUUCAUUUUCACAUGAAACUCCUAUUCUACACCAAAUAGAUUGAGAAAAAAAAAACAAUCAAACAAUCAGACAUGAGAGGAAGAGUUCCACAAUCCAUCAUUUUCCCCAUAUAUCAUUACAAGGGCCAGGUCGCCAGGAUUUAGCAUGUUUUCUUGUACAAGACGACAAUAUAUAUAUAUAUAUUUUGCUAUUGUCAUCCCACAAAAGAUCACCAUAAAUAGUUCAGUGUUAAUCCAAUUAUUUGUUGUAGAAGCAUGUCCUCCAAAUUUAAUGAGACCUAAGGACGCUUAAGAGAAAUCCCUCAUAUCUAAUGUGGUUAUGAGUCAAAAACCAGAAGUUCGGUUGUCAAAAGCUAGGGCAGGAUUUUCUAUAGCAUUUCCAUUGCAUGUUAUUGAUGGGUCUUUUUACCUUUAGAUUUUAUGCAAAGCAGCUUUUUUUUCUUUUCCAAAGUGAAAGAAUAGGAAUCAACAUUUCGGGCCAUACUGAACCAAACCGGUCAAGAACCAGAAAGGUUCGAGCGGUCCAAAAGGUUCGAACGAUCCAAAUGGUUCAGUGCUUAAUAAAAUCCUGAGCCUCCCCUCCCCAGCGGUCCCCUCGCUCGAUCACACCUCGCUUGAUUUCCCUCUAGCUCUCCCUCCUUCUUGGAUGCCUCCUCCCGUGCAUUAGAAGCCCACUCCUCUCCCAUGCUAGCCCUCCUUCAUUCCCAUUGAAACCCUCGUCUCCAAUCGGAAGACUCUCCUUCUUCAUUCCAUCUCCCACGGCUUGACAGUCGCAGUUGGCCUCAUCCGCCGCUUCCAUCUCUAGUUGUCGCUGGCACUUUUCCGGCAGAGAUUUCCAAAUACGACUCUCUAUCUCUCUCUCUCUCCAUCUUCCCCCUCUCCCCAUCCCUCUUUCUCCCCUUCUUCUCUCCAACCUUCUAGGGUUAGGAUUAAGGUUCUCCCUCCCCCGCUCUCUCUCCCCCCAACCUCUCCUUCUCCCUCUCCCCCUCCUUCUCCUUGUCCGAUACACUCCAGCAUGGCAUGGCACAUACCCGUAUAGUACCGUACCGGUAGCCGACUAGUAUAAGACACGAUAUCAGUUUGGUGAACCUUGUUAGGGAUCAUUAUUAGUUAGGUUAGUCCCAGAUGGUCAAAUCACUUAAAAUUUGUUUAGAUUUUUUAAUACUUAUCCCUCACUCCUACCCUCCUUCUGUACUAUCAAUGCAAACUCUCAGAAGUCUCGGUGUAAGCAAAAGCUUUCUCACGUCUCGGUGUAAGCAAAAGACAUAAAAUUCUCAAAUUGGGGGCAAUGGUCGUGUUGACACCAGAGAUUUGGUAUUGUAUAGCUCUUUCUCUUUCACAAUCAAGUCUAGCCCAAAGUCCUCAACAUAAACAAUUAAGGAAUUCGUGGAUCUACUUUACAAGUGGAUCCAAAGGAUUCAACAACUUAACAAAUUCAUACUUUGACAAUUGCAACUAUUUAUGCUUGCAAUAAUAUUCCUGAAGCAACAUCUCAUUGUCAAGUAAUUUUUACAUUGUGAUUAAUCAAUGCCAUAUUCUUUUUCUUCCAUCCAAUUUUUAACCUUUCUAUGUUUAACAACCACAUAGUCAGUACCAUGCUACACACAAUUAUAUUUAUAGUCAGUACGUAUGUCUCUUCUACUCCUUUAGUCCCAUAACCUGUACGCAUCCAAAUGAAAAGAUAACAGAAACCCAAAAAUGCCUCCAAAACAUUUAUUUUCUACCAUUUUAUAUCAAAACAGUUGACUACUAAAAAUAACUAGAAUUUUUAUGAGAAAAAGUCGAUUAACUUGCUUCAUAUGAGACCUGCCUGCAUGCUUAAAGAAACCAUUUGUGAAAAUCUCACUAUCAAACUACAAUAAGGAAAAAUAUAUGAGAUUAUUUUAGUCACUCCUAAUCUAGGGAAAACAAUGGCAGUGCAUAAGGACUUCCUAUUAUUUAUAGAUCAGAUGAUAACCGUGAUUUCGAAAAACUACAAAUAUUAUUGUUGGGGGAAUACGGUUUUCCCCCGGUAAUACAGUAACCCCGCCGCUAGAAGGCCGCAUGAUCGCCGACCUCGGACAACUGAGGUCGGCGUCCAACCUCAGAGCCUCCGACCUGGAGAAUUCCCGACCUCAAAGGUUUAUCCACGUCAGCCACCUACUACGGCCGUACCCCUCAGAGGUCUGGCCAAAGGCCAUACCCUGCCGCUGUCCCAGCAUUUAUUACGCGUGAUCUCUGCAAACCCCUGGAUCACUCAACAAUUGAUGAAAGUCUCCGGCCUACACAACAAUUAAUGCAUACCGCCGGCUUACUCAACAAUUAAUGCGCAUGGCUCCAGUUAUCUACGGACCCGCAACUUGCCACGGCAAAUCAGCCCAGCAGAGUCCAAUCAACGAUGAUAAGUCCCUGAUCUCGGCCAUGCCUCCAACAUCAAUGCAAUGAUUCACCUGAUCGUGCGCCAGUCUGAGCGGCAUAUCGAGCCGUACAAGCGGCCUCGUCCAAUCACACCACAGGUACACCGACCCCCCCUAUAAAAGGGAACCUUCGCUUUUCAGAGGAGGGGGACGAAAAAACUAAUAAACACACUUUCUUCUUCUCACAUAGAUUGCCCCCCUUCUGACUUGAGCGUCGGAGGGCCAGCGCCGGAAGACCCGGCCACCGGCUUUUUGCAGGCACCCCAACGGAGGACGCCACUCGCCGACGGACAGCCGCUCUCCUGCCGCUCCCCCUCCUCGACCGACGAUCGCCCCCGGGUCCAAUUUCCAGCAACAGUUGGCGCUAGAGGAAGGGCCCGAGUAGCGAUCAUGAAGUUGAGAAGCAAGGAAGCCUCCAAUACCUCCCGGCGCCUCCCACAGAGUCCUGGACAUUCCGUCCAGAAUCCACCUACUCCGGCUGACCCGGUUCCCCAGGUUCAGCCGGAGCAAUUCAAUGCUUUGAUGCAGCAAGUUCAGGUCCUGGCCGCCGCCGUUCAAGGCCUGCGGCGCGAGGAGGCUUUACCAACACACCCCCGCAGGCCCAGGCCCUGCCGGAGUUUCCUCCUNNNNNNNNNNNNNNNNNNNNNNNNNNNNNNNNNNNNNNNNNNNNNNNNNNNNNNNNNNNNNNNNNNNNNNNNNNNNNNNNNNNNNNNNNNNNAGAUCUCAAUAGAAGACCCCAACCCUCUGAGGCUGAGUCAGCCCCAGACCACCGCGAGCCGGAGCAGACCACGACGACAAUCCCACGGGUUGGGGAGCUCGACAGAAAAGUUGAGCAUUUGGAGCGCCAGAUCGCAGCGCUCCACAGUAGGAAGGCAAGGCAGGAGGGAGACUUUGAGUUCACUACCAAAUCCCCCUUUUCCUGCCAGAUCGAGGAUGAGCCGGUCCCAACGAGGUUCAAAAUGCCUCAGGUGGAGCCCUAUAACGGAAUGACCGACCCUCUCGACCAUUUGGAGAGCUACCGAGCCCUCAUGGCUCUGCAAGGAUCCUCGGAAGCUGUAUUUUGCAAGGCCUUCCCAGCGACUCUUCGAGGGACCGCCCGGCUUUGGUUUUCUGGACUAAAGCCGAAUACGGUAUCCUCCUUUGAGCAACUCGGCAGGCAGUUCGCCACCAAUUUUGCCGCCAGCCGGCGCCAACAACGGACGUCAGACUCCCUUCUGGACAUCAAACAGAAGGAGGGGGAAUCCCUCAAGGAGUAUCUGGACCGCUUUACCGCCGCCACGUGGGAAGUUCGCGAGCUAGACCAGUCGAUAGCCAUGUCGGCUCUGAAGACCGGGGUUCGCUCCUACCGAUUCCUCUUCUCCAUUGAGAAGAGCUUUCCGGCCGACUUCACCGAAAUGCUGGCCCGAGCCCGAAAGUAUGCCAAGGCCGAGGAGGCAGUUGCCUCCAGGCGGGGCGCGAUUGAGCCCGCCUCGAGGAAACAGAAGAAACGCCGCGAGGAGCGCGGCCGACAAAGAAGCCGAUCCCCCCGUCGAGAGAAGAACCUCCCUCGGCUGAGGAGCCCUCCUCGGCAGCAGGGGCGAGCUCGGCGGAGGACCCCACCUCGACCAAGAUCUCCACCACGGCCUCGGACGUACCCAGGGAGGUACGAGAACUACACACCUGUCAAUGCCCCCCGGGCCGAGAUCCUGAUGGAAAUCGAGGGUCGGGAUUUCUUCCGACCCCCGCCUCCUAUGAGGGAUACGGGAGUUCCCUGCAAUCCCAGGAAGUAUUGCCGCUUCCAUCGAGACCGUGGGCACGACAUGGAGGAUUGCUUCCAACUCCGGGACGAGAUAGAGGCGCUCAUUCGCCGGGGAAUACUCAACCGGUUCGUGAGAAACCGGCGCGAGGAAAGGAGGCCGGCGGAAAACGCCACGCCAUCCGAAAACCCGGACGACAACGGGCCCAUCGCCGGCACCAUCAAUAUGAUCAGAGGGGUCUCGGCAGGAGCAACAGCCCAGGGAGCACCCCUAAAGCGCCCGCGUACUGAUGAAGUCAUCUCGUUCUCGGACGAGGACUUGGAAGGGGUCGAGACCCCUCACGAUGACGCUGUGGUCAUCUCUAUGGUUGUAAAUAGGUUUGAUGUAAAACGUGUCCUAGUUGACAAUGGAAGCUCAGCUAACGUUUUGUACUAUCAUGCCUACCAAAAAAUGGGGUUGCCAGAAGGACAUCUCCGGAAGAUUAAUGCCCCACUGGUUGGGUUCACCGGAGAUUCGGUCCCGGUCGAAGGUGAGGCCAGCUUCCUUGUUACAGCUGGCCUCGCUCCCCAGGAGAGCACUGUGAGAACGGACUUCCUUGUGGUCCGUCUGCCCUCAGUCUACAACGCCAUCCUUGGGCGGCCAGGGCUAAAUACCCUUCGGGCCGUGGUUUCAACCCGCCAUCUGCUCGUGCGGUUCCCCACCGGCCGAGGAGUAGGCGAGGUUCGCGGGGACCAGUUGGUUGCCAAGCAGUGCUACAUGGCGGCCCACAGAGUAAGGCAACCGACCGAGGCGCCGAUUCAGCCAACAGGCCCCUCACUACCCAUAGAAACCCUGGAUGCGAGGGACACCCUUUGGAAGAAGCAAAUAGAGCCUGGUGAGCUUCUUGUUCAAGUUCCGCUACAAGAAAAUUUUUCCGAGCUAACUGUGCAGGUCGGCUCCGGCCUUGGCGCCUCCGAGAGGGAUCACCUCGUUAGCUUCCUACGGGACAAUGCUGAUGUCUUCGCCUGGUCGCCUGCGGACGUACCGGAAAUUGACCCUGAGGUCAUGGUCCACCGACUCCAGGUAAAGCCAACCAGCAGACCUGUAAAGCAGAAGAAAAGAGGCUCCGCCCCGGAACGACAACGAGCUGCGGCUGAGGAGGUGGAUAAGCUCCUCGGAGCCGACUUUAUCCGGGAGGUCUCCUACCCAGACUGGCUCGCCAACGUAGUCCUCGUAAAGAAGGCCAACGGAAAAUGGCGCAUGUGCGUGGACUACACCGACCUGAACAAGGCCUGCCCAAAAGAUAGCUUCCNNNNNNNNNNNNNNNNNNNNNNNNNNNNNNNNNNNNNNNNNNNNNNNNNNNNNNNNNNNNNNNNNNNNNNNNNNNNNNNNNNNNNNNNNNNNNNNNNNNNNNNNNNNNNNNNNNNNNNNNNNNNNNNNNNNNNNNNNNNNNNNNNNNNNNNNNNNNNNNNNNNNNNNNNNNNNNNNNNNNNNNNNNNNNNNNNNNNNNNNNNNNNNNNNNNNNNNNNNNNNNNNNNNGAUAGUGCGUUCCCAGACCCCUCGACCUCGCGUACAAUACCCCGACAAAGCUCGGGAUGCCCCGUGAGUCGACCGUAGAGUCUCAAACUCCCUCGACCUCGGGAUGUACCACCGGAUCAACUGCAAGCUCGAGCUUCAGGUGUUGAGCUCGACUCUCCGACUGAAGACAGAAUGCCCCGAGAACCGGUCCCAAGCUCCCUCGACCUUGGGACGACGAGGCAGUACCUUCGCAGCCCCCCCCCCCGAAACGCUCGUGAUUAACAACAAAGCAUCUCCAAAAUGUUCGUGGGAAACAACAAAACAAUGCUCACACAGAUUUCCGAUGGCAACUAUUUCUCCUAUUGUGACCGGCGUCCCCGGAAGGAGGACCCUGAACAAAAGAGCGUUCACAAAAAUUAGUCGAAAAGCAAAGCUACCGACUUCGGCCUGGGAGAAAUGCGACGCGGAAGAACCGUCGCGUCGCCUCGACGUAGCUGAGUCGACCACAAGCCAAAGAAGGCUACUGAGUCGACCUGAAGCACUUGACUCCUGCUGCAUGAGGUACAUCCUGCUUUAUGAUUGCCUCGUUAUAUUUAUCUACGUAUUAUCGACGGAACUCUGNNNNNNNNNNNNNNNNNNNNUAUUAUCGGCGGAACCCCGACUAAAGUCUGGCCAAGGUCGGGUUGCUCUUGCGAGUCGGUGAACGAGGGCCUAAUUCGGCCCCCAUAAAUUUAUGAAGAUAACCUCGACCGUGGGCGCAUUGAUCAGGCUCAAAAGGGCCGAAAUGUUCUCCGUGGGUUCCGACCCCGUGCACCUAAACCUCGGCAGGGUCCGAGGGAGAUAGCUGUGAAAGCCCUAGUGGUGAUUUAGUUAGUGCCUCGUACUCCCCUUCGGAGGACGGCGCUAACCCCUCUUUAUAGACCUACGGUCUGAAAACCGAGCUCGAAAAGCUCGGCUAGACCUCCGAGAAGCGGCCUAGCACGGCCCUACUUGGCGGUCAGAGGCCCAAACCCAACGCCUCUAGAAUCUAAGAACUAAGCUCGGCGACCCUCGCGAUCUUCGGAUCCGAGCUACAAGACUUGGUGAAAUUUCCUAAAAUUUGAGCUAGGAGCCCCCCUAGUUAGUGUAAUCGGAGUUCGAACACUCAAACAAGUUAGAAGAAAGAAAGGCUAAGCACAGCUAAAAAACAUGCCUUUAUUAAGCAGCCUGAGGGCUCGGAUACAAAGUCGAGAGUCGGCAAAAGUACCGACCUCGUUUACAAGCAAAAAAGACAAAGGGAGAAAGGUAAAUGCGGAGAAGUGAAAAGAAAUCUUUUCAUUUAUGAUGAAACGCCGAAAAGCUAAGUACAAGAUCAGAGGUCGACCAAUCAACAGUCUUGAAGGCCGACCUCAUCUACAACAAAAAAAAAGAGAGAGAAGAAAGAAAAUCUACGCCCUAAGAGGCGGCAGCAGCAUCGGCGUCACCCUCAGGGUCGUCUAUGGUGACGACCUGGGGGCCUUCGGCAGGCACGGGCCCGGGGUCUGCGGCGGGAACCUCGGCGGACACCUCGGUAAUUCCGCGAGGGGGAACCUCCGUCGCCGCCAGCGCAGCUGAGUCCGCCUCAGCCUCGGUGGACUCCUCCUCGGCCGCGAGGGCAUCGGGGACGUCAUCAUCGGAGUCGACGCCCACCCUCAUCCUCGGACGAAUUGUGGAGAGGUCGUACUGGGGGCAGAACCGAGUCAUCUGCCUCCGGAAGUUUUCGAAACCCCGGAGGAACCCGUCCACAGUCUCCUCCUCCAACAUAUCACGGAACUCUUCCGACUCCUUGAAGAGCUCCACGGCGUUUUCGGCCCGCUCGAGCGCCUUCUUCUCCCGGGCCUCGAGCUGCUCGAUCUUGAGGCGGAAGACCCCGCCCUCGUACCUGAGGCCCGCGAUCUCGGACUGGGCCUCCCCCAGACGCGCCUCAGAGGCACGCAAGGCCGACUUCGCCAGCGAAUGGGCGGCCCUCUCCUCCUCGAGCACCUCGACCAUAGCCAGGCGCCCGGCCUCAGUGGCCUCCCUCUGCGCCUCGGCCUCGGAUAGUGCCGCCUCUAGCUCGGCGAUUCUUUUCUUAGCCGGCUCCAGCUGCCGGCUAACUCGCCAAGUCUCUUCUUGACACCCUUGGGCGAUGAACACCAGGGUGUCAACCUCAUGAAUGUGCUGCAAGGGAAAAAGAGGAAAACUCUUAUGAGCUGAAAGACCUACAAUACGCUCGCCGAUAACUUAAAGAAAAUUAGGAAAGUAGCUUACCCGAGCGGUAUUACGGUAAGUACCGUCGACGACCUCUUCCAACGGGAUGUUGGCAAACUCNNNNNNNNNNNNNNNNNNNNNNNNNNNNNNNNNNNNNNNNNNNNNNNNNNNNNNNNNNNNNNNNNNNNNNNNNNNNNNNNNNNNNNNNNNNNNNNNNNNNNNNNNNNNNNNNNNNNNNNNNNNNNNNNNNNNNNNNNNNNNNNNNNNNNNNNNNNNNNNNNNNNNNNNNNNNNNNNNNNNNNNNNNNNNNNNNNNNNNNNNNNNNNNNNNNNNNNNNNNNNNNNNNNNNNNNNNNNNNNNNNNNNNNNNNNNNNNNNNNNNNNNNNNNNNNNNNNNNNNNNNNNNNNNNNNNNNNNNNNNNNNNNNNNNNNNNNNNNNNNNNNNNNNNNNNNNNNNNNNNNNNNNNNNNNNNNNNNNNNNNNNNNNNNNNNNNNNNNNNNNNNNNNNNNNNNNNNNNNNNNNNNNNNNNNNNNNNNNNNNNNNNNNNNNNNNNNNNNNNNNNNNNNNNNNNNNNNNNNNNNNNNNNNNNNNNNNNNNNNNNNNNNNNNNNNNNNNNNNNNNNNNNNNNNNNNNNNNNNNNNNNNNNNNNNNNNNNNNNNNNNNNNNNNNNNNNNNNNNNNNNNNNNNNNNNNNNNNNNNNNNNNNNNNNNNNNNNNNNNNNNNNNNNNNNNNNNNNNNNNNNNNNNNNNNNNNNNNNNNNNNNNNNNNNNNNNNNNNNNNNNNNNNNNNNNNNNNNNNNNNNNNNNNNNNNNNNNNNNNNNNNNNNNNNNNNNNNNNNNNNNNNNNNNNNNNNNNNNNNNNNNNNNNNNNNNNNNNNNNNNNNNNNNNNNNNNNNNNNNNNNNNNNNNNNNNNNNNNNNNNNNNNNNNNNNNNNNNNNNNNNNNNNNNNNNNNNNNNNNNNNNNNNNNNNNNNNNNNNNNNNNNNNNNNNNNNNNNNNNNNNNNNNNNNNNNNNNNNNNNNNNNNNNNNNNNNNNNNNNNNNNNNNNNNNNNNNNNNNNNNNNNNNNNNNNNNNNNNNNNNNNNNNNNNNNNNNNNNNNNNNNNNNNNNNNNNNNNNNNNNNNNNNNNNNNNNNNNNNNNNNNNNNNNNNNNNNNNNNNNNNNNNNNNNNNNNNNNNNNNNNNNNNNNNNNNNNNNNNNNNNNNNNNNNNNNNNNNNNNNNNNNNNNNNNNNNNNNNNNNNNNNNNNNNNNNNNNNNNNNNNNNNNNNNNNNNNNNNNNNNNNNNNNNNNNNNNNNNNNNNNNNNNNNNNNNNNNNNNNNNNNNNNNNNNNNNNNNNNNNNNNNNNNNNNNNNNNNNNNNNNNNNNNNNNNNNNNNNNNNNNNNNNNNNNNNNNNNNNNNNNNNNNNNNNNNNNNNNNNNNNNNNNNNNNNNNNNNNNNNNNNNNNNNNNNNNNNNNNNNNNNNNNNNNNNNNNNNNNNNNNNNNNNNNNNNNNNNNNNNNNNNNNNNNNNNNNNNNNNNNNNNNNNNNNNNNNNNNNNNNNNNNNNNNNNNNNNNNNNNNNNNNNNNNNNNNNNNNNNNNNNNNNNNNNNNNNNNNNNNNNNNNNNNNNNNNNNNNNNNNNNNNNNNNNNNNNNNNNNNNNNNNNNNNNNNNNNNNNNNNNNNNNNNNNNNNNNNNNNNNNNNNNNNNNNNNNNNNNNNNNNNNNNNNNNNNNNNNNNNNNNNNNNNNNNNNNNNNNNNNNNNNNNNNNNNNNNNNNNNNNNNNNNNNNNNNNNNNNNNNNNNNNNNNNNNNNNNNNNNNNNNNNNNNNNNNNNNNNNNNNNNNNNNNNNNNNNNNNNNNNNNNNNNNNCGGCCUCGUCCAAUCACACCACAGGUACACCGACCCCCCAUAUAAAAGGGAACCUUCGCUUUUCAGAGGAGGGGGACGAAAAAACUAAUAAACACACUUUCUUCUUCUCACAUAGAUUGCCCCCCUUCUGACUUGAGCGUCGGAGGGCCGGCGCCGGAAGACCCGGCCACCGGCUUUUUGCAGGCACCCCAACGGAGGACGCCACUUGCCGACGGACAGCCGCUCUCCUGCCGCUCCCCCUCCUCGACCGACGAUCGCCCCCGGGUCCAAUUUCCAGCAACAAUUAUAAAACUAUCUUAUAAACUAAUCCCUUGGUAAGAGCAAUCAAAAACCCUUUUUUGAUUGGGAUUCAAACACUACACGAUUUCAAAGGAAAAUAAAAAUUCUCGUAUGAAACUAUCCCCGAAAAAACCGUGUUAAAAAUAAUAGACGGAAGAAAGGAAAAUUUCAAACCUUAACGGUCAUCUGGCCGCCGGCAUAGGCUUUAUCCUUGUCGGGAUCGAGGGCGGGCAGCAGAGGGAACUCGGACCCGUCGAUGUCGGCCCAGUCGUCGGCAUGGCCGUCGAUGGUGACGACUCCGGGGAGGUACUCGGCGAGGACCCGCACGUUGGGGCUCAUCUCGCAGCUCCCCCCCGCNUCCUCGCCGUGGUCCCCAUGGGCGUCCCCGAGCCGGAUCGCCGAGGAGACAAGGAUCGCGGAGAACAGCACGAUUCGGAGCAUGGAGGCGGGCGAGGAGUCGCCGAGAGAGGGAGGAUCAGGAUUUUGUUUUUGGUGUGGGGGGAGGCCGGCGGGCGGGCUGGGGGAAUCUGUGCAUCGGAAUGGAGGACCGCCUCACGGGCUGCAGCGACACGAAGGAAGCCUCCGGAGGGGUUGGAAUUUUUUUUGUCUCUAGGGAAAAGGACGGUUCUAGCCCUGCAAUAUUUGGAUGGUAAUAAGGAUUCUCUGACCGGUGGAAGAUCUAAAACCCGACGUUGAAGAUAUUGGUCGAAAUUAUGGCUUGCAAAUUCGAACACCCACCCAAUAAUGAUUUAGUAACCCAAAAAUCUCAGCCAAAAAAUAUAUCCUUUUUAAUUUGAAAUAUUACAUAUAUAAUUAAAGCUUAGUGUGAAAAAGAAAUAAUAAUAAUAAUAAACUUAUUUUUGUAUACAAAUAAUAAAGCCUAUUUUAAAAUUCUGGUGUAUAUAAAUUUCCCAACCAAAUGAUUUAACUGGGUCGGGGCUGUAUUACUGCCACUAGUUUCUCUCUGCUUAGAAACAGUAAUCCUGCUUGAUGGUUUAGACCCGUUGGGGUAUUAGGCAAAGUAACCUUAUUUCCUAUUAUAAUUUUUUAUUGUGGACUCAGCAGAUGUGAUUAGGCCCUAUUCGUGGUAUCUUAUACUUAAUAAUAGAGCAGUGCCACUGCCACGGUAACUCAGCAAAAUUACUUUAAAAAGUCACUUGACUAUUUUGCCCUGCCAACUUUGCUACGUCGCAUAGUACGACUCAUAAUGCCAAUUCAAAAGGAGCAAUCAAAGUACAAUGUACUAGUUGAGUGAAUUUUUUAGGUUACAUAUCUAAGUUACUAAAGAAUUUUUGUUAAUAAUAAGUCUAAGAUUCACCAUCUUUUCUGUGCUAAUGAUGUUUGCUUGUGGUAGAACCACUCAAUUGUAUAGCUGUUAUGGUCAUUAUUGAUAAGCAUGUGAACAUUACAGCAGGAGGUUUGAUCCUCAUGAAUCCGAUGUAAUUUUCUCCAAAUGAAUAGUGGUUGCUGAGAAAAUAAAGUUUUUUCUCGUGGUGAUGAAAUAAAAUUUUUGAAUAUUUAUAUAGAAUUAAAAAACUCAAAUAACAUUUUUUGCAUAAGAUUCUUGUUGUUAUAUUUUUGUUGGGAAGGCUUUGAAUGGGCAGGUCAUGCAUGGGGAAGUAGCAAUAUGGGUUUAAAAGGCAAUUCCGCCACCACAAUUUCGUGGAUAAACCAGCAACCAGGUCAUACUCUUGUCUUUUAGCCAUAGUAGCAUGUACAUAGAAAGUUCCGAGAAAUCUCAGAGCAACACAUGUCGAGCAAGAAGAUGAUCAAAUAGAUGGCCUUUUGGCUAACAAAGCUACGAACACAGUGCAAUGCCAAAUUUGGACAAUAGUACCUUAUCUAUUUGUGCAAUUUGGUAAUGGCUCUUUUAUUAGAUAAAAAUAUAUUUAUUUUUCUUAAAAGGAUACUGUAAAUCUGUAAUGACUAUUCUUUCAGAAAAAAAAUGCUCCAAUAGCUUAGAAGAGUUACUCAAAAAGUCGCUUAGCUGGUGUGAUGUAUUGUCAUUGCUUCCUUUAAUUUGCAUUAAUUAGUGUCAUGAAAAUGAAGCAAAGUGAUUGUGCCAAGGCACUAGAUUGAUCGAGUGAUUUAACCUGUAGCAUUGCUCAUUUUCUUAUGAGAUCUUCAUUUCACACUUCUUGUUGGAGUUUGAUGAGUUAAAUAAUCUUUUUUUGGGGUACAAGCUUUUUGUGAGAAGUCAAAUAAUAUAUAUUUGACUUUUUGCAUUAUCCACAAUUUUUUUUUAAAAGCUCCACAAGACUGACCUAUGUGUUUUGUCAGAAGCAUCAAAAUUUGAUAUGCAGCAGGUGGCAAAAAAAUCCAUUCUUUCUAAGAUUUUGAGUUUGUAUUUGUUCAGGAAUUGAGAGCCUACACAGUACUCUGACAUGGAUUGUGCACCAUGCACCAACAGAAUCCUCUCUAUUGCUAGUAGAUUUAUCAACAAGCAUGCCUUGUUGGGUGCGGAGAGAAUGUGCAGAUCGUCCAAUUAAAGGUGAAAUGCAUAAGGUUAUCGACAUAAUAAAAAUAAAUAUAUGACCCUAUUGUGCUACCUAAUAAUAAUUUACAAAUAUAAGAAUUUCAGAAGGUGAUCGACAUAUCUAAAGGGCAGGUGUUUGUGCCAUCUUGUGCUAAUUUACAGAUGUCUGUAAUUAUUUUUUUUAUAUGAUGCAAUCAUAUUUUAUACAUGUGCGACUCAUAAGCUACUUUUACCUCAAAAACACACCGACAUUGUAAUUGAAUUUUAAGUUUAAUGUUUUCAAAUUUAAGUUUUGGGUAAUAUUCCGGUGAAUUGAUGGUAGGAGACUAGCUAGGCCUCGCAGAAUUUUAAGCCGUGUCUCGAUACUCUAUGCUUGCUACUGAUUGAGGAGCCCCUCAUAUUAUUGCCUUAGAAACAUAAUUGAACUUGUAGCAUUCAACUUAUUGCAAGUACACAUCAUAAUUAAAUAAGUUCAAGGAUUGUUAGCAGGGCAGUUGAAAUCGUCUUAGCAUCUAUAGGACCGGCAAGCCAUAUGUUCUCGGAAAAAAUAACACAAAUCCUAAUCCCCAUCAUUUAUGGAAAAGCCAGAUUGAUUGAAGAUUAAACAUAGCCAAUAGAUUUAUGUUCAUAAGAUGGGACUACAAGUUUAUACUGGCAUUCAACCUAUCCCGACCCUUCUUUAUCUAGGUUUGGAACCGGCUAUACAUAAAAUAUAGGCGUAGUUACUCAUAAGUUGGAAUUAUGGAAGACUCUAUUAUAAUAUAAAAGCUUUGGGUUAAGAAGGACCAAGGAAGAAUAUAUUAUUGAGCUGAGUAUUAUAUUUGGCCAACAAACUAAAAAAAUUUUCUUUCGCAAAUUUUACAUGUUUGUUAGAAGUGAGCAAUCCAGAAAUCAUUUCAUUAACAUUACCUAGGCAAUUGAGAAACAGCCUCAAGUAAUUAAUCCCUUGUGCUACCUUACAAGGUCAGACACCUAUACUACAACAGUUACUUGAAACUGAUACGAUAAUCUCCACUUCAUACAUAUAGGCAGUUACUCCAGAGCUGAUCUUUUUUUCCCCAUUCAACAGCAGAACACCUUGGAGCCUUCUUUGGCUGUUCGGUUGUCACAUAUUAGAUUCCGAACUGGCUUCUCACAAUCACAACACACCUCAGCUCAGGCACGGCACACUCACCACCUUUCGUGGGAACGAACCGCGCCCUCUUCUGAAGCCACACCAAGGCGCGAAUCCAGCAAUUCUGAUAACGUCUUCUCUGUUAGAAUGCCACAUCAUUCUUCUCUCAAACUAUCUCCCAGAACUGUUCUGAACUGUUUACCAGAAUUAGAUUUGAAUUAGUUCCUUGUAACAAAUACAGCUGAGAUCUACCAGCUCAUUUACCUAAUUCUGGAACCUUCAUUUCUGCUCUAUGAAUACUGUAUCACAACUCAAUAGUUAAUGGUGAAAUCAAUACAUUCUUCUUCCUCAUUUCACUUUUAUUUUCCUCUCUGUUUUCUUUGUACAGUAACCAGCAUUUCACCGUGCCGGUUACUGUUCAUUUGUGCCAGAGUUUCAAAUGUGAAACUCUUCAUUCUCCACCAGAAGUGUUUCGCACCGGAAAAUAAUAACCGAUUUAGCCCGUCUUCUGCUCCCACGCUUCCACAUCUAACGGCCAGCCUCCUCAGUCAAUGCAGCCCUCCUUCCUCCCAACCAAAAAGGAGAGAAAAAAAGAUCAAGCAAAUCAACAAAAAAACUAAGGAAAGAAAACCAAAAUGUUCUAUAACUUCCUCUUUUCUCUUUCUUCCUUCUGCUAAUCUUCACCAAUCCUUCUUCCCCAUCCCUCCAGCCAUGGCUUAACCCAACUACAUAACACCAGAUUGAUACCCAAAAGAACCACUCCUCUUGUUCUCCAAGACGUGCAGGAGGACUCUUUCCAAUUCUACUCUUCUUUCUCUCCUAUUUUCCUGUUCGCCAAAAGAAUUACCAAUCUUUCUCUCCAGGCCAUGUAUAUUAGGAUUCACCUUGAUUCCAGCCUCCUCUCCCUCUGUCUUCUCCUCGCCACCAUCGCCUCUGUCGCCGACUCAGGGGGCUACACCCCUUUCAAUUCGUUCCUCGUAGACUGCGGCUCGUCGUCCGACGCCGCUGAUGCAGACGGUCGGAAAUGGUCGGCAGACGACACCUCCAAGUUUGGCGUCUCCAUGAAGGAUUCGGCCGCGGCGACCGCCGCCUCGCAAGACCCGUCGGUCCCCUCGGCGGUCCCGUACAUGACGGCGAGGGUCUUCACGUCGGAGUCCACCUACAAAUUCUCCGUCACUAAGACAGCCUGCCAUUGGAUCCGCCUCCAUUUCUAUCCCUCCACCUACAACGGCCUCGCCCUUGAGAAUUCCUACUUUGCGGUCUCCGCUUCGGGCGGCGUCACCCUCCUCCGCAACUUCAGCGCCUACAUCGCCACCAAGGCAUUGACGCAGGCCUACCUUGUUAAGGAAUUCUCCAUCAUGCCGUCCUCCGAUGGCUCGAUAAGCCUCACCUUCACGCCGUCGGGCAAGCAUGAUGGCUCCUAUGCUUUCGUCAAUGGCAGCGAGAUCAUUUCCAUGCCUGAAAUCUUCAGGCAGCCAGCGAAAAUGGUCGGAUACUCUGAUCAGACCACCGACAUUGGAAACUCGGCACUGCAGACUGUGUAUCGUCUCAAUGUCGGCGGGGGGGUAUAUUCCGGCGACCAAUGACUCGGGCCUCAGCCGAACUUGGUACGAUGACUCCCCCUACAUCUACGGCUUUGGGUUUGGCGUCCCCUUCUCGGCUGAUGACAAGCUCAAGAUCCGAUAUUCGGAUAGCACGCCGGAGUAUAUGGCUCCGGCAGAUGUCUACCGGACCGCGAGAUCGAUUGGCCCGGACAACUCAGUUAACAUGAACUACAACCUCACUUGGAUCCUCCAAGUUGAUGGCAACUUCACUUACAUGGUGAGGCUCCAUUUUUGCGAGCUCCGGAUGAGCAAGGUCAAUUAGAGGGUGUUCGACAUCUUUGUCGACAAUCAGACGGCGGAGGCCUCUGCUGACAUCAUUGCAUGGACCUCUGGGAAGCGCGUGCCCGUGUACAAGGACUAUGCGGUGUACAUGACGGACGACCCCGGCGACAAGCAGCUAUGGGUGGCUUUGCACCCCUCGGCAUCGGCGCAGCCUGAGUACUAUGAUUCCAUCCUGAAUGGCUUGGAGGUCUUCAAAGUGAAUGAAACCAAUGGAAACCUAGCAGAACCAAAUCCUGACCCCACUGCGAUGCUCACUGCAGCUGAAUUGGACCCGGAACAGAAGGGAUUUUCCUCCAGAUCAAGCGAUAAGGCACAAAUGAUCGGCGGGGCAGCCGGCGGAGCCGCUGCGGUGGGAUUAGUCUUCGUCAUCUGCAUCGCGGUGUAUCAGCGCAAGAAGGAGGAGGUUGGGAUAGAGUCCAGUGGCGGGUCAAGAUGGCUACCAGUCUAUGGAGGGAAUUCGCAUACGUCGGCGAGCAGGUCUGGAAAGAGCACAGCAAGUGGUAAUGGAUCAGCCUUGGCUUCAAACCUUUGCAGGCACUUCUCAUUUGCUGAGAUCAAACAUGCAACCAGGAACUUUGAUGAGUCCCUUGUGAUUGGAGUUUGCGGCUUCGGGAAGGUCUACCGAGGAACCGUGGAUUCAGGGCUCAAGGUGGCUGUCAAGAGAUCGAACCCUUCUUCAGAGCAGGGCAUCCACGAGUUCUAGACCGAGAUCGAGAUGCUUUCGAAGCUCCAGCACCGGCAUCUGGUCUCCUUGAUUGGUUUCUGCGAAGAGAACGGUGAGAUGAUCUUGGUUUACGAUUACAUGGCUCAUGGCACUCUAAGGGAGCAUCUAUAUAAGAGCAGCAAGCCUCCUCUGCCAUGGAAGCAGCGGCUGGAAAUCUGCAUCGAAGCAGCAAGGGGACUUCACUACCUUCACACUGGUGCUAAGUACACUAUAAUUCAUAGAGAUGUAAAGACCACCAACAUUCUCCUGGAUGAGAAAUGGGUUGCAAGGUUUCAGAUUUCGGGUUGUCGAAGACCGGCCCGAUGAUGAAUCAGACCCAUGUCAGCAUAAUGGUGAAGGGAAGCUUCGGUUAUUUGGAUCCUGAGUACUUCAGGAGGCAGCAACUGACUGAAAAGUUUGAUGUCUACUCCUUCGGAGUGGUUCUCUUUGAGGUCCUGUGCGCAAGGCCAGCACUGAAUCCAACUCUCCCGAGGGAGCAAGUCAGUCUUGCAGACUGGGCCUUGAAUUGCCAGAGGAGGGGAGCUCUCGGCAACAUCGUCGAUCCGAAUGUCGAAGGGAAGAUCGGUCCUGAGUGCUUGAAGAAGUUUGCAGGGACUGCGGAGAAGUGCCUGUCUGACCAGGGAGUCGACAAUCCUUCUAUGGGCGACGUGCUGUGGAAUCUCGAGUUUGCUCUCCAGUUGCUGGAGAAUUUUGAAACAGGGAAGCCAGUGACAGCUGAAGCUCCUAGUAGCUCAGAGUCAGCUACUAGCGAUGGUGACUCCGGGAGCCACAGCCCAGCGGCCAUUGGUGGUGGAAGUGAGGUGAGUGUGGACUCGGAUUGCCAAAGUGAUAGCGUGGUGUUUUCCCAGCUCGUCAAUCCGAAGGGGUGAUAAGAAAAAUCUCUAGCUGCCGCAUGGAUGAAUAGCUCUAGAAAAUACUACUUGGCGAGGGACCGGCAUUUAGGUUGGUGAUUGCGAAGGGAUUAACAAUAAAACCACUUCUGCCUUAUGGUUCUUUGAAGGGUCUUCCUCGGUUUGGUUGGUUUGUUGACCGUUAUAUUUUCCUUCUAAUGAUCUAUUUUAUGUAUAAAGGUAGGCUCUUUAAACCGAUAGCAAUUGGCAAAUGCUCAUCUCUUGAUCAUAGGUCUGCGGCAUUUAUGUUUUUCUAAUUGUUGCUAACUCUUUUUGUGAAAAUAUUUGAUGGAAACUUAUAGUUUUAUAUCAUUUAUUCUUAAAUUAUGCAAUAUGUUCGUGGUAAUCAUAUCUAACAAGACUUCUUAGACUCAUUAUCCUCAUUCAGCAUAACGACUAGGACAAACUAUUAGAGCAUCCCCUAUGAGCAGUGUAGCAUAACUCUUUCUGAGAAAAUAUUUGAUGGAAACUUAUAGUUUUUUGUCAUUUAGUCUUAAAUUAUGCAAUAUGUUCAUGGUAAUCAUAUCUAACAAACUUUUUAGACUCAUUAUCCUCAUUCAGCAUGAUGACUAGGACAAACUAUUAGAGCAUCCCCUACGAGCAGUGUAACAUUUCAGCUUUUAUUGGCUUUUGAAGUAGUAAUGAUUUUUUUUUUUGUUAAAGGGAAACCAAAGGAAAAUACAAGUUUGGGCUAUUAAUAUGAAAGAUGAUAGACUUGCAAAAGGCAAAGUUAGAAUGAUGGUAUCAUGAUGUUGAAAGAAGGAAUUAUGUUUCCUCUUUCCGGUUUAGGUUGUUUGAAACAUUCACAAUGUACAUCAUACCGUAUUUCUUAUUAUAUUUUUUUUUCUGAGAAAUAAUUGCUUAUUCUACUUGUGGAUGAAGGAAAACACCCCCUGUCGGCCAUUCUUUUAUUUAUUAUCUGCAAGAAAUUUUAUAUUGAGCAGAAUUAAAUGCUUAUAUUUUACAUUUGUUUUCUUCAUUUUGAAAAAUGACAGGCUUAGUUUAACAUUAUCAGUAGUUUUACCUCUUCUGAAAAUGAUGGUUUCUAAGAUAAAUAACAGAUUUCAUUUAAGCAUCCAUGGUUUUGUGGCUACCUUUUUAUCUUUAUCUGAACCAACACCAUAAGUACCUCAUGCACCAUGAUUCUCAUUUUUUUUAUCUAUAAGUAAUUUACCAGAUCCACUAUAAACAUUAAAUAGUAAUGUGAAUUGGCAAUCCUAUUUAGGAAUACUUGGCGAGAGUUGGCUAGCUGGAAGCUAUUUUUUGGAUUCCUUAGUCUUGUAUAAAUAUCUAAGAUCUACCCAGUGAAUAACCACUAUGAGACUAAAUACAUGCCCAUAUGGAUCCUCAUAUUCUCUCCCCUCCCGUUUAAGCUUUGACAUCCUCGUCCCCAAUAGAUUCGUGCUAUAUAGUAUCCCCUAGUUCAUAUAAGUUAUAGAUCGAAUCCAUUCUGAUACUAUUUGAUAUGAAUAUUCAAAACCUACCAAGCGAAUAAUCAAUGUGGGACUAAACACACGCCUGCACGAAUUUUCAUACUCUAAAACUAUAACUUAGCUCUUGUUGCAUAAUAUGAUCCACAAAUUUACCACCUCGGCAUUCUCAAGGCUUUGUACUGAAGGAAGAAGGGGGAUUGGUGGGACCACUGCAAGGCAACUUUUGAUAUAUGAAACAGCAUUGAUGUCUUUUUUUCUUUUUCAAACCUUGUUUGACACAAUGAAAGAUGGAUAUCCGCAUGUAGAAAACAAAAAUGAGAUAACUAGAAGAUUUAUUAUGGUAAUGAAGAACUAAGAAUGUGCAAAAUGAAGUACCAGAAGUUUAAAUCUGGAAAAAAGAUGUCCUUCUUGCUUUUCCAUGUCUCCAUAGGCAAAUAAGUUGUCAGUUGGUUUUUUGUUUCAUUUGAUUCUGAGAUUUGGCUCUCCUGCACUUCUAUGUUGAGGAUCUGUUGCCUUCUAUUCCUCCAUAUAUAAUAUAAGUUAAAUAAGCAAAUAAAAUGGACUCUUAGUCUGUUUCUUUCUUCCAUUAUAAUAUCAAUUUUCACUAAAUGAGUUGAUUAUUUUCUUUUUAAGAAUUGUCUCCCUUUACCCUCCCCUUAGCCAUUGAAAUUUUGCCCUGUGAUCCUGAAUGUUCAGCUCUCCCCUUCCAUUUCAUAAAAUAGCUAGAUUGUACUGCUAACCCUGCAUCUCAAAUAACUCCAUGCCAUGAAAUAAGAUAGUGAUUGCAUGUUCGAUUAAAAUGGAUAGAGAGGAUGAUACUAAAGGUUCAUCCACCCCAUCAAUCUUAAUCCCAGUAUUAGACAAGCGACAUAUAAUUCGAUACAAUUUAAUAAACCAUGGAGAUUAUGUCCACUUGCACUAAGUCUAUAUAAUUAAGUGUGCAUCAUUCUUUUACAAGCAGUUUUAAUCAUCAAUUCAACAGAUAAGCAGCUGUAGUUGGAUCCAUAUCUAAUUUUAAAUUUGUGGAUUUUGACAUGUUGGACGUUAUUUGCAGAAAAAAGAAUAGAGGCCUUAUUUGCUUGAACAUAUAUGACUACUCUGGGGAUUCUUCUGCUUCAGAAUAUAGUAUAUCUUAACGGUCAUUAAAAUACUGGGUUGAGGAUCCCCAAUAAUAUUUUAUAAACUAUGGAUUAAGGACAUCCAAGCUACCUUUUGAAUUUGAGAAGUAAAGAAAUAAAAAAAUAAAUCUGAUGAAAAUUACAAUUGAGUGAAAAUAAAAAAUAAAAGUAAACAUAAGAUCAUAAUAAUUGAGUACCUUUUACCCAAAAGAUCUGAUAGAUAAAGAAUUUAGACUUGACAAUUAUUUACACAAGUGAUCUGCAUCAUUCUUUUAUAACAUGUUUUAAUCAUCAAUUCCAAAGGAUAAGCAGCUACAAUUGGAUCCAUAUCUAAUUUUAAUUUGUAGAUUUUGACGUGCUGGACUUUAUAUGAAGAAAAAAGGAAAGUGGUCUUGUUGUGCUUAAAUAAUUGAGUACUUUGGAUAUUCUUCUGCUUCAGAACAUAAUAUAUCUUCAUCAUCAUUAAAGUACUGUGUUAACGAUCUCCAAUAGCAUUCUAUAAUUGAUAGAUUAGGGACAUCCAGGCCAAAAGAACAAAGAUGAAAAAAAAUAAAGAAAAUUAAAAUUGAGUGAAAAUUAAAAAAAAAUAAAGAUCAGAAAAGGAAGGUAAAUAAUGGUGAAUGAAAAUAAAAUAUAAAAUUAAAAAAAAAAGUUCAAAUGGUGCUGCCCAGGUUCGAACUGGGGACCUUCAGUGUGUAAGACUGACGUGAUAACCGACUACACCACAGCACCAGAUAUUUUAUUGUAUUUAGUUUAUUACAAAAAUAUGUUAAUCUAUUGGUCAACAUAUUGCAAUAGAAUUGCGAUCACCUAUAUGUUAGAAUGAUAUUUUAAGAUUUUACCAAGUUCAUAAUAUCCAGAGGUUGUGCAGUAACAUAGUUUAUUUACUUGGCUUUUACAAGUUCAAUGUUCAAAUAUAUGGUAACGGUGUAUACAGGGGACCUUUAACCAUCCCAAAGAUGGGUCCAUGGUAAGUGUUAGGACCUGAAGCAUUUCAUUUUCAAUUAAUCAUAUUCAAAUCUAUGGUUAAAAUAAUUAAUGUUUCUUAUAUUUCUAUGUAAUUUCUCUCUAUUGAUUGCCUCGGACCUUAUUUUCUCAGUCUAUAUAUGAAAAAGGUCUUGCUAUACUUCCAUUCAAUCUCCACUUUCUUUGAGCAGUUGCAACUCCAUAGUUUUGGCUCAUGCCUCACUCCCACCACAGCUUCUGUUUAAUUCACUUCUCCACGAAACGUAUUUCUGAUGAAAAGUCUGAAGAGAUUAAUCAAGUAAUCUUAUAUAAUUGCACAAUAAAAACUGGCUUAGAGUAAUGGUUAUCCAUUAAUGGAGGCUUUCCUUUUAGCCUAAUCUUACUGAGGUUUAUUUCUCUUAGGUCUUGAUAUCAGCAAUGAUCGCCCUUGAUUUCCAUUUUAACCUCGAGAUCUGAUUCACCAACAGGGCUUAGCCCAGUGUCUGCGGGAUUUCUCAAUUGGUAGAAAGUAGUCACAACGUGAAUUUAAGACCAAUAAGCAAACCUUGAUGAGCCACAAACCAACAGAAAAUGAGAAUAACUUGGUUACAAUCCCUUGAUUUGCAUCUUCAAUGAUAGCUCCAGAUAAUGUAACUGUUACUUCAUAAUACUAAGCAAGAUGAGUCUCAAAUGCUAAAAAAUUGAUCAAACAAUAAUAAAAGGCAAAUCUGCUUAUUUAAGAUAACAAUUCAGGAGUCAUUUUUCCCCUCAAUCAAAAUUUAAUCCUCCCUUUUCCAACUUUUCCAGGCAAGUUACUAUAUGUUAUUGGUGAACAAAAUUUUCAAAGAGACAACAUACAGAUUGCAGAGGAACCAUCAAAUGUUUAGUUUUAAACAUGACAACUGAGAAAGAAGUGACUACUUAAAAAAAAGGGCAAAGCCAAGAGGGAAAUGGAUAUCUUCAAAUUUCUCCAUUGAUGCUUCUUUCUUUUUUGAGCUCUUGGUUGAGAAAAGAGCUGAUGUCAGGUUACAAAAUGCACCUAGCAACAGAAAAACCCGAAUUAACUGCCCUACUUCCAUCCAAGUUCUUGUAGAAAAGCAAUGGGAUCACUGAUGCUGCUUUAAUAAGCUGAAAGAAGCCACCCAUACCCAAAUAGAAACCCACCCUCACCAUCUUCUGUUCAGGCUGCACCACCAACUUAAAAAUACUGACAUAAACUGAGUCAAUUUACAAAAUAACAGCCACUUGUAACAUUACUUCAAAAAAAAAAAACCCCACCAGUUUUGGAGUGGGAAGGAGAGUAACAACUGCAGUUAUCAGUAGCACUCAAAUAUAAAAGCUUAUAACCAUCAGUCAGGUACAACUUAUUAGGUUGGCCAUCAGAAAAUGGCUACAAACAAAUUGACCAAACACCAACGGAUUGCUUGCAAGCAAACUACAUCAAAAUCAAUAUUUAUAGGUAAGAUUAACAAUAAAACACUAAGGAUGCCCUACCAUAUGGGAACAAAGGCAAAGGAACAAAACCAACUGUAACAACAAAUCCUGAAGCUAAACAGCUCAAAAGCUUCUAUUCUUAUUCCUGAUAUUAGAAUUUACAAUACAAGUCAAUUCAGAAAGACUUCUAAGAGUUUUGUAGUUCAACUCUAAGGUGCACUGCCUCCCCCAGGUCCUCCCAACGUCAGGACAACACCUUGUAGAUCACUAUUAAGCUUUGCUGGUUGGGCUUUGGCAACUUGGUCUCGGUGAGCCUGCCGCCCAUGAUGCCCACACUCAGGCAGCACAAAGGUCGUCGGUUGUGGAUGUGGCCUGAUUUGGAUCGGAAUGGCAUGAGCAGCAGCAGCUGAACAAUGCUGUGAAACAGCAGCAGAGCCUGUUAGACCUUGAGAAUGUAGUGCAGACCUUGGAGCUGCAACACCUAUUCCCUGAUCAUUGCAGUUCCGCAAGAACAACAGAUAUUAGGAAUGGCUGCACCAUGACUUAGUUUUAUUUUAUAUUUGGUAGACAGGGAGAAUAUAUCUUACUGGAGAAAACAAGACGCCUCUGAGAAUCUGGCCAUUAACAUAAGCAGUCAUGAGGUACCCAGAGUCAAAUGCUCCAUCCACCAUGCCAUGAACCUCGGCUCCAAUCUGUAAAUAAACAGAUCAGAAUUGCCGCACGCACACACAUACAUAUAUAUNNNNNNNNNNNNNNNNNNNNNNNNNGAGAGAGAGAGAGAUUUUGUUGAAGAGGUUGAAUUGUUGCAACGGUGGCCUACCAAUGGAGGAACAGCAGGCCUUGGCUGUGGCUUUUGAUCUACAGCUAGAAAUGGAACUUCUUGCUUUGCUUUGGGAGCAGCACGAAGAAAUUGUGUUGUCUUUGGCUGUCUCGGGGGUUCUCCACCCGAGAUAUGUCCAUCCAAAAUAGUCCUUUGAACACCAUUUAAUGGCUCCCUCUGAGGAUGUUGCUUGAAGUGAACAAAUUGUUGAGAGGCCAAAAUCGAGUCGUUGGCAGAAGUCGACAAUUUCCUGACAGUAUUUUGCUCUUGAUCAGAUUGUGAAGGAGAUGAGUGCUGAGAAAGCGAGAGAGAAUGUUCUUCUUGUUCUGAUUCAAUCUCCCACACUCUAGCAUCUCCAGUUUUCCUCCUUUUUGCUUUCAUAUUAUCUGAGGUGAAAACAAAUCUUGCAUAUGAAACUCUGCACCUGAACAAUGUACUCAUUUCAAUGUAGAACAAGGCUUACCCAAACCACGUAAAAGAGAGUUCCUUGGUUCUGAUUCCACUUCGCGAGAUCGCUGACAAAGCUCUCCAUUUUUCAGAACCACAUUUUUCUGCAGUACAGUUAAAUACAAUAGCUAAGUUUGCGAGUAAAAUGAUGAAACAGAGUCACUUCAUGUUAUUAGGUUUCGACACUUGAAAUCUUACCAAAUCUUCCAUUCCUCUACAAAAAUUCCGUUUUUGUUGAUUCCAGUGGUUACCAAAAAUUUUGCACAUGGAAAUGUUGUAACGACCAUUAGGGUGCUCAGACCCUAACUGCAAGAUCAGCAACUCAUUGAGAGGGCGUUCAUCCUCUCCGCAUCUGUUAAUGCAAAGCAUAAUUAUAUGAAGCAUUGAGACACCAAAAUCAUAUUGACCUCUUCAAACUAUAAUGUAUAGGUAUUGCAUCAAGAGACUUACCCUCCAUAUAUAGCAAUAUCGUUGCCCAUGACUACAGCAGUAUGAGAAAACCGCCCUUGUGGUUGUUGGCCACGAAUAUCAAGUUGUGCCCAUAAAAAGGUGCCCAAGUCGAAAACCCAAACAUCAUUAUAAUAUUGUUUAUCACCUACUCCACCGAUAAUGUAAACCUACAUUACAAGGGGAAAAAAUUGAUGAGCUUUUUCUUUCAGAAACCACCAAACAAAACUUGCUGACUUCUCAUAAUUCACUGGAUACUAGCCUUAGUCCCAAUAUUGACUGCCGCAUGACCUGCUCGGACUCCAGGUGAAGAUCCUUGAACUGCCAACUGUAACAAAAUAUAAUUAUCAUGAGAUUCUAGAGCAAAAUUCACUUGUUCCGGCUCUAUUUUUAGCAGAAUAGCCUAAAACAGAGAGCAUGACCAGCGUCGUAGCCAAGUGAACAAGCUUUGCCACUUGGCCAGCUAGAAAAAAUGUUCCUUUUUAAGCAUACUUCUACAAUGCAACUAUAGUGCUUUCCUAUGUGAUUCAUUAGGCUAUCUGUUGGAGGAUAGGACAGCAAUGCAGGCAUAAGAAGGCACUUAGAAUGAUAAUAUGAAUCAGCGAAGACAUCACAUGAAUCUCUAGAGCAACAUAGUCUCGCUACGAUCAUCCAACAGAAUGAAGAUUCAGUAAUUUCUUGACCAGAUAGAAUGAAAAUAUAGUGAUAUCUUAGGUGCCUUUUUCUGAAGAGUAGUGCGACAACCUCAGACGGGAUUGCCCUGCAGCUCAAGUAACCAUAUGUGAUGGCUGAUGAUAAAGUUCAAAUCAGGCAGCUGACUAUAAAUCUUCUAACAAAGUUUAUGCUGCUUUACACGAGCAUGACAGCAAAAUGUCUUAUUCAAAAUGCCAAUAUAAAUAACUGGAAUGCCAAAUCCAGCACCAUGCUAGAAAUAUGAAAAUUCAACAAUUGCACUCCCAUAGAAGGAUUCAGUUUCUGUCAAGCUAGUAUUGAAAUCAAUUUGGACACUGGUGAAAGAAUUUAUAUUAUGAAGUUAUAUAAAUGGUAAUCAAUAUUCAGAGGUUGAUUUUGGUUAUCCUUUUAAUGAUCACUUCAACAUAUUACCUCCAUCCAUCCAUCCUUCCCACUCUCACUCGCUUUGUAUUGAGAUACAUGCUAAACUUAGCAAUUGUUGACAUUACUAAUCAAACUAUAUACUGCUAGGCAAAGAAACUCGCAUAAUAAGGCAUGAGUUAAUAAAGAGAUAAUUACAAUCCCAUAUGAUACACAUGAUGUGCCAGUGAGAGGUGUUUUUAUUUGUAAUCGUUUUGGUUAUCCAUCCAAUGGAUCCAAUGGAAAAAAACAUAAAUAUGGUACAAAGGAUGUUAAGAUGAGAAAAAGAUGAAUAAUCCUUACCCUUGACCAAGUCAUUGUGUCCAAAUCAAAUAUAUCAACUUCCCCAUGAUAACGAUCGCCACAAUCACCGCCAUAGAUAAGAAGCUUAUUGCCGAUCUCAACUGCAGUGUGGCUAUCUCUUGGUGCAGGGGGAUCACCUUUCACUUCCGGAGAAGUCCAUGUCAUGCUCUUCAAGUCUAGUAUAUGAACAUCAUUCAAGUAAUUUGCUUCCCCUUCUCCGCUUCCCCCAAAUAUAACCAGUUUAUCAUCGCCUACCACUGUGGCAGUGUGGCUUUCACGUGGUGAAGGUGGGGUGCCUCUGCAAUUGGGUUUGCUCCAUUCUUUUGUCCGCAAAUCUAAUAUAUGAAGAUCAUUUACCUUCCUCGAACCAUUUGUACCUCCUAAUACCACCAUCUUGUGCCCUACGAGCGCGGUGCUGUGGCUGUCUCGGUUUCCAGGUUUUUGACCUGUUGUAACAAGGGAGCUCCAGGACAUGGUAUCUAGAUCGAGAGUGACGACAUCACUAAAAUGUAAUCCACCACAACAGCCCUGCAGGAAGAAGAGAUAAAAGUGUUCAUACUUGUACAGAAUAGAAACUUAAUUAUAUCUGCUUGUGUAUCUCUGAUAGCAGAUUUAGGAAAAUGUAUAGAGAAGCCAUGUUAUUUAAAGAAGUUGCACGAACAAAGGUAUCAUACUCCCUCUCACCAUGGUUCUUAUCUCUCUUUCUCUUUCUCUUUCUCUAACUUUGUGUGCCAACCCUGAUCUAACACCUAGAAAGACCUCUGAUUCCUCCUCUUCCCUCACCUUUUUCUACACUUAAGAGAAAAAGAAAAAAAGUCACCAAUCAAACACAAAUUUCUUCUCUACCUAGAACUUUCAACUGUCCCAGCUCAAUGAAGUAUUUAAUUUAGUAACAAAAAACACUGAUUUUUAAAAGAAGAAGAAGAAGAAGGAAAAGAAAGAUAAGUAAACAGGGCUUCCAGCUACUUAGUAGACAUCUAGCAAGACCUAUUCACCAACCGGUUUGCAUUAACUUGAACUUUAGCUACUUUUUACAAGAUAGCAAAUAAUCCAAAUUUGAGAGGCUAAACUGAUUUUUACUGAGCUUAUGUAUCAGAAUGCACGUGAACUCAAUCGAUCUCGAUGGCCAGUAUGAAUAUUGAACAGAUGACGAGAAGAGGGAAGACAAAAGUAAUGGCACAAAUAACGCUCUCCGCUAACAUAAAUUAAUUUUGUUUUAUGAUAGCAAAUACAGGACAUCAUUCCACCAAAAAAAACUAAAAAAAACAUAUAUAUAUAUAUAUAUAUAUAUAUAUAUAANNNNNNNNNNNNNNNNNNNNNNNNNNNNNNNNNNNNNNNNNNNNNNNNNNNNNNNNNNNNNNNNNNNNNNNNNNNNNNNNNNNNNNNNNNNNNNNNNNNNNNNNNNNNNNNNNNNNNNNNNNNNNNNNNNNNNNNNNNNNNNNNNNNNNNNNNNNNNNNNNNNUUUUUAAAUUUACGAAACAUGUAAAAAUCCCAUCUCUUCCUUCAAGAAAAAAUAAAAAGAAUCAGGCUAAGAACCGAAAAGGUGUCUACCUCGAAUAACUUGAAAAAAUAAGUAUAUUAAACUCAACUUCCCUAUAUACAGUGCAGAAUAUCUGACUAAAGCGGUACGAGCUCUAAGAAAUAACACUAUAAAAAUAGGUAGCAAGACAAAGUUCAAUAGACUGGGAUGUAAAGCAUCCCUGGCUUAACUUGCUAAAUUAAGUGCAUUAAACUCAAUCCGCAGACACAAAAAGCACCAAAAUAAAAACUAGAAAAAGGUAAAAACUUCAAAAAGCCUGAAACUUUUGAUGAUCAUGAAUUUUUCUUUCCUUAAAAUUCUAGGGAUAAAAUGUGGAAGCUAAUAGAAAGGACCUCACUCUAGCAAGAAAUACCAUAUCAAACAUCAAUAGAAAAAGAAGACGAACAGGCAGCAACCAAGGUGUUCACUUCAUACUUACCCCAAAAAAAUAAACAACCCCUUCAAAGAAGCAGGCUGAGUGCCCCCAUCUCUCGGGAGGGUUGAAGCCCACCACCUUUGGGUAGAGCCACAUCGCCUUCCUCCUCUUCAUCACGUCCAUACACAGCGAUCCCAUCACCCCGAGCAAUACCAAUAAUGAAAAAGAAAGCACUCCGAACCCUCCUAACAGCAGUUCUCAACACCACCUUGCUGUUGAUAAGAUUGGCAGGAAAGAAAGAGAGAGGGAGGAAGGUUCAAGAGGGCAUGAGCAAGGCUAGUGAGAUACAAGAUAUCACCGUCCGAUGGACAAGAAAAGAUGGGCGCUAUCAUCUCCAAACUACUGUGUCAACCAACAAGACACAGAUGGUGGUGUGAAAAACAUCACGGAGGAAGUAAGAAAGAGAGAAGACCCAAGAAACCACCUUUCGAAAGAUAACAGAUAGCCUAGAAGGGUACGAAAUAAGGCUAAGCUCGGGUAGGCCUCUGAGGAAUGUUUAUAGCUGCGGACUGGUAUAAUAUCAUCGGAGAGCGACCAUUACCGCACAUAACAUAGAGCAUAGGCAUGGUGGCCAGAGGGAGAGUAUGGGGAGAUGGAAAGGGAAGUGUGGGGUAGUGUGUGCAUGGGAAUGUGUGAGGUGUCACAGAACCUUUCAAUGUCUCACUCUUUGGUUUAUGUAUCUCCCCUCCUUUCCCUUCCUUCAAACCUGUCUAACUGAAAAUGAUGGGAGGUGGGAGCAUUGGGGUGUGGGAAGUGAUGGGAAGUGUGUCUUGGGGUUUGGUGGGGUGGGUUUUCAAUAGUGAGAGCCACAGAGACGAAAUUGGUGUCUUUGGUGCUUCCUUUCCUUGCUUCCAUUUAUUCUAGGAACUUGAUAACAAACUUUUCUGCUUGUUUAGAUGCACUUGUUUCUAUAUCAGUGAAAAAUGAGCACUUGCUGUACCCAAGGAGAGUGUAUUUAGAGGGUCCUUCCCUUGGAUGGGGAUCAGAAAGGGGGAAUAGCCUUGGUGUCAUAGGGAGGGUAUUUCUUUCAUUAUUGAUAUGGAACUAGAGAUGUCCCUUCUCGAGGUGGCCUAGCGAGCUUAGCUUUGCUUCCCAACUUGGGUUUAGAUUCGGGGCUUUGGAAACUGAGAAGCUUUUGCCUUCUGUCUCGAUAGAGGAGAGCGAGCAGGGUCGCGCAAAUUCUCGUACUCACGGUUUCGAUCUUACCAAGUGGAUUUCUGGAGCUAUUCAUGCAUUGGGGAAGAGUGGACCAGAGAUUUGGGCCCAACCAGGAAAUAGGCGAAAAAAAUAGCGACACGUGGCCUGUUAGAUAGUGGGACCGCUAGUGAGGCUGCAAAUGGCGCCAAUUUGCAAGGUGAAUUCCGUGCUUCGAUUGGCUCAACGUCAUGGCGCGGGAAAUUGUACUAAGAAUGUGGCCAAAUUUUUCAUGCUCGUUCGCUUUCUAGGAUCAUCAUUUUAUGAUCCUUAUCAUCUUAAUCAUUGAUUUAAAACAACAUUGAUUGCAAUGGAGCAACUAAGAUCCAUCCUCAAAUCUUGAAAAGCUUGCAGACCUUAAACUCAUUCAUUGAAGAUAUGGAUAAUGCUAACCACCUAUAAACCACUUGUCAGGUUGCAAUCAUAUUUCAAUUUUCUUAGCGUCGCACUAGAAUUUUUAUCUCUUUCAUCAUUCUCUAUCUUUUGCAAAUGCUUUUUCCAUUUAAAAUGUUUUCCCUUUCAUUGGCACGUACGAGCGAUGUGGAAUUGAACAGAUUCGCGACAGAUUAUUUACAAUACAAGCUUGAGGGACUUUUUGGAAAAAUUGGGUAUAUUAUAUGAUAGGUUGAACAUGCUAAAACACAUUUAAGUUGAAGGUCAAUUAAUCUGAGCUGAAGGUUAAAUAAGAAAUGAAGAUGCAUGAAACCCAUCCGGAGAAGUUUGCUUCGCACGGAGAGAUAUCACACAAGCCCUCUAAUUUUGUUCAUUCUUAUCAGGCUACUAAACUAGUCUCUUAGAUCUGUUUUGCCAGAAAUGCUUGGAUUUUUGUUGGCGAUAGCAAUUCUUCAUCGAGGCUUGUUGCGGAGCGCGCUCAGGUAUAGACGGCAGAAAUUAUCCAUGCAAACCCAUUGUAUAAGCCUUUGAUAGCUCGGGACAACUAGAGCUCUAUCUUUACUCAUGUAGUACCUCGAAUAGUAUUUUUUUAUUUGGGAGCCCCCACCUUUAAAUUUUCUCGAGAUCAACUUCGAUUGAUGCAUGCUAAAUAGUGGCAGAAGAAGAGAUACUGGCUUCGUCAUUAGAAAUCUGGAUUCCAAGAUAGUUGUUACUGGUGGUUGCAAAAUCUUCAACACCUCAGUUUUGGAGACUGAGUUGAAGGCAGGAUGGGCCAAUCUGGGUCAUGUUUGGCGUGUGUUGCAGGCCAGAGUAGCUAUACUUGACUGGAUCUAGGGUGGCACUAGCGGCGUGGGAGGAUACUAGGUAGUCCCGUAUGUGAUUAAUCACUCUAGAAAGGUCCUAUAGAUUGGAAAGGGAGAGUUGCUUAUAGCACUUCUUAAAUUGUUGUUUUUUAUAUUUUGUUAAAAUUAUUUGAAUCAUUCCUUUUACAAAAAGAAAAGAGGAAGAAAUAAUUAGGCUCUUAUUUCAAGGUCCAGAGGGAAAACUGAAGGGGAUAUAUCAUAAAUACAGUAGGUGAAACCUGGAGCCCACCUAUUAUCUCUGGUUAGUUGAGACAAUUCCAACUCCUGACACAUCAAAACCUGCUCCCCUCAAUCACCUGCCCCCCUUUUGGAUGGGUUAAGGCCUAAAAUGACAACGUGCAACACCUAAGAUUAUUCGAGCAGGACAAGGGCUAGCAUCAUAGAGUUUGGAUACGCCCCGCCCUUCCGUCAAAUCACAAUCAUCCACCAGAUCCUCUUGCCCAUUGAGAUCGACCGUGCAUGAGCAGUACCCGGCUCAUGUUAUUAAUCACCCUUACACGCCAUGAUCCAAAAUCCUAGCAUGCAAGCGGGAUAAAGUUGGGAGCCGGCAGGACAAUUCGAUCCCCCCACGUGAGUCUCACGUGCUUGGUAACUGCUCUUGGGUAAACAGUCGGACCCGAGCAUUGCGGCUUUCCCCACAGCGAGAGAGAAAGAGAGAUAAAGAAGGCAGUCUCGUGAGGAGCACGGAAUCUAAUGGCGGUACGUCGUGGCUACGCUGCCGAGCCGAGCGAGAGCGAGGGGCGGGGCGUUUGAGGCAGCGGCAGCGUAACUCACGGGGAGACGCAUCCCAUCUCGCAAUCGCUACGAUCGAGUGGAUGUUUGGACUUUGGAUAAAGGCGGUAGCGCAUCGCUUUCCGGGAUUACAUCGUAACUUGGAAAGCUCAAAGACAUCUGAUUGCUUUCAAAGCAAAUCAGAGCAAAGUAUAAUACAACCACCGCGUCACUCCUCUCUUUCUUUUGCUUUGUUUUUUUCCCCACCCGACGCGGAGAGAGAUGACGAUAUCCGAUAGAUAAUCUUGGCACCAUCUCUCGGGAUUCUCUUCCUCACGUCAGCUGAAGAUCGGAGUCCCGUGUUUUUUUAUUUACUGUGAUAUAUAUAUAUAUAUUGCUGAUGGCGAUGGGAACCUGAUGGCCCAAGAUAGCGCGUAAAUAAAGGCCGUCCGAUUAAAUUGAAAACAAUGAGAAAGCAGAGCCUCCUUCUAAUCCGGAAAGAUCGCAGAGACUCUUAGGAGGUCAGCAGCCGCGUCCCGAAUGAUGAGCGCUUUUAAGUAAAUAUUACUUCGAGUCACCUUGAAUUUUUUUUUUUUUUUUGAGGUUUGCUUACCUAGGUCGAAACUAGUUUAUUGUUCAAAAUUUUAGAAAGCCCUCAAGCAAGUUACUUUGAGUGCUUGGAAUUUUACCAUGUGCACGCCUUUUUGUUUUGUAUGUUGAUGGUCAAUCUAUUCACUUUCAGUUGACCAAUAGCAAUAUAAACUAAGUUAUUAAAAAAUUGAAGAUUGUUUUUAAAAAAAUGCUGGUGCUGUCUAAUAGCGACCGACUAGGUGGCUUCAUUCGCAGCCUACCAUGCUGGAGACUUUAUUUGGACCAAUUACGUGGCGGUGCCUCACGAUUUGUAUUACCUUUUUGUUACUGAUUCUAUUGACUGUAUCCAUAUUCGACAUGUGUGAGCUGCUGCAUUGUGAAAAAAAAAAAUAAGCAGUAAAAGUCAUGGGAGAAAGAUUAAUUUUUACACAGGAUGCUACGAUUGAAUGACCCAGCUUAUGCUCUCUUGAAAUAUACUCGGGAGUUCAUUAAACUUUUUUUCUAACCUUCCCCAUUAAUGUUAUUUUUUUUUUCUUUUUGUUUUUCGACAGGAUAUUUGUCAUUCCGAAACAUUUGUUUUUUCAUGGAUGAUACCGUGCCAUAUUCCUAUGCUAAAAUGAGUGGAAAAAAAAGAACUGCAUGAGAGGGAGAGGGCAGACUUUUAGUAAAGCCAUGCUAUCUCCUUUGUUGGAUGAAUCCUAAAACCAGGUGCUAGAUUCAAUAGAUGACACCACAACUUGAAAACGAAAUUAAAUCUGCAAUCGACUAAUGAAUUUCAAAACUAACACUAAUCAUUUCACAGAGUUGGAUGUGUUUUUUUUUUCCCCACUUUGUGUCCAACUUUCAAGCAUCCUUAAACAUUUUUGGAGCAGUCUUGUUGGGGAGUUGGCUUCGCGUUCGAAAAUUCGCCUGUUCCUCUCUUUCUAGAUGCUCAAGCAUGCAGUGAAUAAUAGACAGCCCCAUGCCUUCUUUGGGUGUUUUUUUGGGAUUUUUUCUCACCAUUGACGUCCUCCUAAAAGAUUUUUAUGUUUGAGCAUUUCGGAAACAAGCAAUCUGUGUGCUCAUCUUCUCCGCAUAGGAUGCAAACUGGAGGAGUUGGAAUGAGAGCCAGUUGAAUAUUUUUACUCUCUCUAGCAGGGGAAGUUUCUAUAUAACUUUCGUGAAGUAGGAAAGGAUUCCACCAUGGCAAAAAAAAUUUACAAGGACCAAGAUAUGGUUUCAAACAAGGGCCAAGACAUGACAUAGAAACCGAUCCAUUUAUAAGGUACUAAAACAACUUGCUUAUAUAAGUAGUUCUUAUAUGAGAAAAAUUUAAGAAUUUAAAAGCACUGAAUAAUCUAUCAAGAUAUGUAAAAAUACAAAAGGCUCUCAUGCAUGUUGAAUCAUUUUAAAUUGAAUAAGUAGCAAUAAUAUUUUCCUCUCACAACGAUAUUGGCAACAUUGAUUUUACAAAAAUUUGAUUGACAUAUAUAUAUAUAUAUGGAUUAGGGUAACUAAUCUCUAGAAUAAUUUAAGUUUCGAGAGUUUUUUCUAUUUUUCCUUGAUGAAAGGGGAGACUUGGGUGCCAGUUUUAGAUCACCGGAAUCAUCCAAAUUUAUUAAGUUCCGAGGCUUUUUGAAUUUGUUUUGGUUGACUAUUUAUGGAUUAUUACCCAAAUGAUAUAGAAGAUUCCUGCAAAAGAAAACACAACUUUAUAACUUUUUUAAAUAUUCGAAAUAGGCCCCAUAUAGCAUUAACUUUUUUUUUGCGCUAAAACGGAUAAUUCAUUCAGUUCUAAUACGGACACAUCCAACAAGUCAAAAAAUAGUACAUCACGGGCGCUCUAAGCAGCUCCCUCUCUCAAACCCAUAAGGCACUAUUAGAGUGAUUGGCUACAUAUAAGACCAUCAGCCUGCAAUCCCAUUAGCCUCUCCAUAAGCAUGCAUGGCGUAAAAUACCAUACAACCACUAACUAUGAUCUGCAUGUCUCGAAGCAAAGUAUGGCAUCUAUACAUAUUGUUGAUGUUUUUUUAAUCUAGUCGGUCACUCUAGCUAAAUUAUUUUUAAGUAUGAUUGCUAUGGCCUGCCGCCGAAGCAUUCGCUCCUUUUUUCGCUCCUUCAAUUGAUCCUAGCCGAUCCAUUCUCAACGGCUCUACGGUCUACCCGCAGAGAAAUCGACCUGUCAUGUCGUACGCCCACCAAGCCGUGGGACCUCCACCUUUGCCCGUCCGUUCGCUCCACCCCCAGACCGAGGACCGGCGACUUCCACUGGGCACAACUGGCCCCACCAAUCCAACGGCCCCAAAUCGAGAUCACCGCCCCUCUAUCCAUCUCCAUUUCGCCAUUCUAUCAGCCGAGCCAUCGGCUCAUCUCUGCUCGACUCGGCUUGGUUCUCUUUACUUCUUUUAGAAACCUUUGAACCGAAUCUAGUACUUUGAUUUUGCUAUAAAGGACGCGGCCGCGACCUGACGGAUUGACACCUGGAUUUGACGGACGCUGGACGUCGUUGCCAGCGCCGGGGGGGUCAGAGGAGUACUUGGUGGCGGACGGAGUUGACGGACGACGGAUUGAUUGAUAUAAAGCCAGAAAGGGUGGGGAAGGAGGUGGUGUGGUGCUACCCCUGGUAGGUGUAACUCCGAGGGUGCACGCUCGCUGUCGAGAGGGGAUUGGGGAGGAGGAGUUGUCACGUGGAACUUCCCUGAGAAAGUGAUGGUUGAGUGAUUGAAAGGACGCUGAGCAGUUGUAGGAUUGGACAGUAGUUGGAAGCGUGGGGUGACAUCGAUGGAACGGGUUUGGUAACCACGGAAUCUCGGGUUUUUUAACUAUUUUGGUUACAUAAAGUCUUGAUUGGAUAACCUGGAGAGAAUUAAAACCAAAGAAAAAAUAUGACAGACCAAGCAAAAGCACAGCCUAAAACAGGUAAUUCUAGUCCUGGUUGAAGCGCACCAUUCAAGUGUAGGAUGAAGAAGACCUUGAUUUUAUCCCAAUAGGAUGUUGUGGUGGGACAAAUUUGAUAAAAUUUUUUUACAUGGAUACUUUUCUAAAUAUCAAAUUUUACAUAAAUAUUCUUUUAAAAUUGAUAUUUGCAUAUAUAUCCUCAUAAAAUUCUGUUACUGUACAAAUGCCCGUAAUAUAAUGAUAGUUCUAACAGUGUUAAAAAAAUCAUAUUUAUAUUAAUUAAAAAUAAAAUAAAAUUUAAAAUUAUGCUAUUGUCCCUGUCUUUUUUUUUUUUGCUAUUGGGAUCGCGAUCUAUUUGCAAGCCUACCCAUUAAAAAUAUUUUAGUCAUUUUAAUUUGAAAUCGUUAAUUUUUUAACGUCGUUAGAUAGUAUGGGUUCAUAUGCAAAAACAAAAAUAAAAAAAGGAUAAAAUGGCAAAACAAGUGUUUUAAGAGGGUAUAUAUGCAAAUAUCAAUUUUGAAAGGGUAUUCAUGUAAAAUCUGAUAUUUAUGAGGGUAUUCAUGUAAAAAACUCAUUAGAUAAAAAAUGAAAUGGCUGAGAAUAGUGAUGAAGAUUUGAAGAGCAACUAAUCAAUAGCCUAUGCAAAUUAGAUAAAUUGCUUCAAAAGAAUGAUUAGUUAUUGGAAACAUAAAGCAGUCAAGCGGUAACCUAGGUUGCCUCUUUCAUCGUCUACAGCAUCACUAAUGGAUUUCAAAUGAAUAUGGUGCCAAGGGCUAUUACAUAUUUAGUUUUUAGGGAUAGUAUAAUAAUGCUCGGCUUAAAAUGAUAGAAGGAUGAAUCUAUAAAUACCUAAAUACUAUGAGGAUCUUGGAACUUUGAGGCAUUGAGGUAUUGAAGGAUAAAAGUAAUCUUGGGUUUUAAUUUCAUAAUGACCAAUCAAUGGAUUAGAAAAACUUAAACUAAGAAAGAAAUAAUAAUAUAUAUAGAGCUCGAUUGUAUCUUGUUUUUUCUUUUUCUUGAUUUGCUUGAGUUGAAGUCCCACCUCAUCUGAAAAAAAUGUCUUACCACAAAAAUUACCUGCAAGAAUUUUAUAGAACUAAAAUGAUCUUUCGGUAUCCAAAUACACCUUUCAUUAUGCAUCUCGCUUGAAUGGAGGUAUGUCUUUGGUUUAAGGCAAUGCAUAUGGCCAGACAUUUGAACUUAUGCCAAGGUCGGCCGAACCGGGGUCCACACUUGACCAGGAUCAAAUUAGGAGGUGGACGAUAAUUUAUGGGUUCGGAUCCACGUUGGUGAAACCAACACAUGGUCCAUGCCCAUGAGAACCCUUACCGAUUGUAUCCAUUGGGAAACUCACCGGAAAUAAGGUAUUUUAAGUGGGCCAACGGUCGGCCCAGCAUUGCGCCCCCGCGCCAUAAGUGGAGCAUGUCUUGGACUUGGAAAAUGAGGGGAGAAAACAUGCAAGAACAGCAUGAUUCUCCACGUGUUAGAAGAGUAGUGCAUUUUGAGCUUGGGAUUUAGUUCAUGGUGUACACAAGGAAUCAUUUAAAAAAUGGCACUUGGUUGGGGAUCCAUCCCAAUCGAUUUUAAAUUAUUUUCUUCUCAUGAGAAAAUCAAGUGGGAAAACAAUAAUUUCAACACUUGUUUGUGUGAAAUCGAAGAUUGCUUUUAUCUGCAUUCACUUAAACUCGUCUUUAAGCCACCACUAGUAGUUAGAUAUUUUGAUGGUCGUAACUCAAAUUGCGCCAUUAACAAAAAUAAAGUGAGGUAUUUAGCACUCGAUCUUCAAAUGAUGGUUGUAUGAGAAACUAUGGUUUACAUAUAAACUACUAUGAAUUAUUUACACCGAGAUUGUGUCAUUUGUUCUCUUAUUUAUUUAUAUAUACAUGAUGUGUAUCUAUAAUUUAAUUCCUCCUGAGAAAGUAGAUUGGGGCAUGUCCAUUUAAACAACAUAUUGAUGGAGUAUAAGGAUAUUAUUUAAUUAAGAAAAUGAAAAUACUUUUAAAUUCCCUUAACAGCGAAUCCUAAUCUAAGCAUGGAUUUAACUGACUUUUUUUCUUUAUUUUUUUAAAAAAAGAAUUAUGAGGGUCUCGAGCAAGUCAAAGGUUUUGAUAAAAAAUCUAAAGAAGGAAUAUGCAUUAUUUCUAUGCUUGAUACGUACGUAAUUUAUUGAUCCUUCACAUAAAACUUGCACAAAUUUUGGAGUUUUAGAAACUAUUUUUAUUCAUCGACGAUUUAUUUAAAGUAUACUAUUCUCUUUUUACCAAGAAAUAUCAAAGUUGUUUUCAAUAUUAAUAUCAUUAUAUUAGAUAUGCCGGACCAUAUUAGCCGAGAGCAUCAGUAAUGGUUCAAAUGGUACAACCUCUGGCCACAUUAAAAUCCCUAGUUAUAUCAAGCCAUAGUUAUACAAGUAGUGGCUAGGUUUGCCCAUGGCUUGGGCUUCAAUUUGGAUGGUAUCAUGGUAUGGUGCGAGUAAUUGACGGAGAAUGGCCCUUUUUCAUUACUCACAUAUGUGCGCAAAAAAAAUCAAAAUAUUUAGAAGUGUAAAGAGAGACUUUAACCCUUGAUAGCCAAACCAACAUCACCAUUCUUAUGCGGGACUACAACACAUACUGCUUUUAACCUGAAUUCAAUUGCCAAAACUACUUAUGAGGUAGAGUUGGAUUAAGGUUUUAUAAAUCUAAGUUGGCAUUGGAUUCAAAAAUUUCUACAUGACCUCAAGUAGUGUUGGGUAAAGUUGACCUUUUAACCAAUCCAAACUUGACCAAUCCAAACUUGACCAAUCCAACCUAAUUUAACCUAAUUGAUUAUACACACAUGCAUACAUACACACACCAAUAAACACAUACACACAUACACAUNNNNNNNNNNNNNNNNNNNNNNNNNNNNNNNNNNAUAUAUAUAUAUAUAUUAUUGAUUAUAUGUUUAUAUAAUUAUAUCUUUAAUAUUGUCAAUUUGCGUAUGCCAUUCGAAAUUGUACAAAGAUGCUUCAAUUCAAUAAUAUUAAUUCAGUAAAAAUGUUUCAAACCUUCUUCCUGUCUUAAAAGUUCUAUUCAACCGGAUUUAAUUUAAUUGACAUGACAUAUUCUAACUCAACCAAAUUGACCCUAUCUGACCCAACCAAUCUAAUGCAACUCAAAUUUAGUACAAGGUGUGUUAGGUUGGAUUGAAUUGAAGAGAUUCCUACCCGGUUGAGUUGGUCAGGAUUGAGAGAAUUUUUUUUUUGGGUAAACCAGGAUUGGGAGAUCUAAAAGUUGGAUUAGGUUAGGAUUUGUCUUGGAUCGUUCUCGACUGGCCCGAUCGCCAUGUCAAAAGAACCAUUUCGGAUUCUUCAUUCAAAUUUUCACCGACUCAACGAGCUAAAUUUCCGUGCGAACAACUGAUCCACGGUCCGUGUCACCACCCAUCGGGCCAAACCCGCUUCAUCCGUGCCGUUCGUAGCCUUUACGUGUUGCUCGAGCCGGCGGUUCGUGCAAGCGGACCGGAUGGUCUCGGUCUGUUAAACAUGGACGGCAGAUGAUGCGCUCUCAUAUAAAUAUUUAUGCGCCCGUGUCCGAUGACUCGAGUAACCAUAGCUCAAGAUCGCCGCAGAUGCUUUAGCUCUCAUAUAAAUAUUUAAUCUCCUCGUCUGGUCUUUUGCCGGGAUCUCGGGCUCUAUAUAAGCGCACGGGGACCCGCCGUCGGAAAGCCUUGUUCUAAACGCCUGCGAGAGGGUUAGGGUUUUACGAGGGGAGGAAUUCGUACACGUGAGAGAGAGAAGAACAGAUCCUUCCUAACUCCCUCGACUUCUCAAUCUCAUGGAGAUCUGAUCGCCAACAGCCAGAUCGAUAGCAAUGGCGAUCUCGGAUCUCUUUUUCUUCCUUCUGAUCGCGCUUUUCGCCUCCUCAACAGCCGCGGAUGGGAUCCAUGGCUGUGGUGGGUUCGUCGAGGUGAGAUUCCACACUUAUAUCGCCCAAGAACCCUAGUUUUUGUGAAUUAGACCCGCUAUCACUAUUUAUUUACUUGGUUCCGUGUUCUUGAGCUGUUGAAUUGCUUUCUUGUUUCGAUGUGUGCUGUUGUUUCUUUUAGUUUUUUCUGAAAUCCGAGUGGUUUUGUCAGGCGAGCUCGUCUUUGAUCAAAUCAAGAAAGGCUUCUGAUACGAAAUUGGAUUACUCACAUAUCACGGUAAGUUCCCCCUCCACAUGUGUAGGUUUUGUUUGAAUAACUGACCGUUGAGUAGAUGAAUAGCAAAACUGCGAAAAUUUUGAUUGACCUCGUGGCGGUAUAAUGUUGUUGAAUUGAAAAGAAUAAUCAACUUAGCAGAAACUUUUCUCCCCCGGAAGGUAGUGAAUUCAGAAAACAAGAAGCAAUUUAUUGAUUGAAUUAUCACUUUAAGUAGAAAAUUGCCCUAAUGUUCGUCUUUCAAAUCAAGGAGUUAGAGUUUGAUAAGGCUUGUACACCAGAUUACAAGUUGUCAUUUUGGAAAAUUCUGAUGGAGGUUAGAAAUUGAGCAUAAGAAAGAGGUUGGAGAAUUUGCUAAAAGUUUGGAGAGAUUUUUUUGGUAUUGUAAAGUUAGAAAUUUAUAAAACUUAGGGGUUUAAGAUUUCUCGGACGGUUGCAAUGACUUCACCGAUUAGCUUACAACUGAUAUUGAAAUUCUCUUCAAGGUCAGGGAGGUAAAUCCUUUGAGGAGAAGAGGCAGAGAGGAAUUCUGGUGAUGUAUCCAUUAGCUGUAACUGGUAAUGGAUGGUUGGAUCACACACAAUAUUGGUUAGCAUUGAUACUGGUUAGAAUUCCAUGCUUUGUCAAGUCCGGCACGGGAUCAAGUAGCUAUAGACAGCAGCUUUCAUAACAUGAUGGUCUAACACAGAAUACAUAUAGACGUGAUGCAGCUUCAUGUAUUAGACUCGUUAGUUCAAUGGUCACUCGCUAGGCAUCAAAACUCAUAUAUCUGUAAAAUUUUGGAUGCUUGACAUAUAAGGUGCCAAAUGUCAUGGUAGUGCAACAAGUGGAGCAUGGUGGCGCUGUUAUCAACCAUAAUCUUCAGGUCUUGUACCAGCUACUGGGGACCAGCCUUUUUGUCCUCAUUCACCAAACAUUCCUAUAUAGGGCUACCUUUAACAUUACGAUUUUUUUUUUUUUUUGUAACUUACUUUCUUACAACUUCCAUCCAUGCUACCUCAAGUCUCCUCCCUUUAUCUUCCUAAGUGGGUGGAACACUCAUUUGCUCAUUGUCAUAGAUAUUGAUAUCUUUGUUGUCUCUUUUCGUUUGCAUAUGGGUUUGUUUGCAAAACGGGCAUGUGCUUAGUUUAUUUGAGACUGCUGGAAAGCUUCUAUGCUUAGACAUUUUGGAUCCAUGUACAAAUUGUUGUGGUAGGAUAGGAAACAUGAUGGUCUAAGGGGUAUUUGCCAAUUGCAACAGAGUACAAAAGCUGCAUGCUUAUGGCCAUGUGAAAAUUUUCAACUUCAAAGCAGCAUGCAUGCAUGUGCUUGUGAUGCGAUGACCCUUAGAGCCUUAAAGUACAAAAGCUAAACCUGGUAUCAAUAUUAGAAUCUUGUCACCCAACUAUUGUCACAAUUAACCUGUCUAUCUACUGCUUGUGUUUGUAUAACUUAUUGUUAUAGCUGACUUACUGUUAAGAAAAUUCUUAUUAUCAGUACAUAUAAUUCUUUCUUAAACCAUUUUAUGAGUUUCCUACUUCCUUUUUGUUUCUAAAUGAUGUGGCACAUAUUUAUUCAGGUUGAGCUUUGCACAGUUGAUGGGUUGGUCAAGGACAGGACACUGUGUGCUCCAAAUGGUUACUACUUUAUCCCAGUUUAUGACAAGGUACUGUCUUCUUCUAUGAUAAAAUAAUCUCUCCUCUUACUAAUGACUGUUUACAUUUUCAAAAGAUAUGGUUGAUUAAUUUCUAAAUGUAUUUGUAAACGUUUAAUAUAGAUUUAGCACUGCUGGGGUACUGCUGCCCGCCUAUAUGUCAAUGAUGUUUUGAUGUCUAAAUUGCAUGCUUCUGUCAUUUUGGAAUAUGAGGAAGAAGAAUACUUCACUCUUCUUUCGGUUUAUUCACUGAUCUGAAAUGAAACUUAGCACUUGUUUUUUAUUGAUACCUGGGGCUAGGUUGGAGAUGUACAAGAUCAUCUCAAUACGACUGAAAGGGAAAAAUUACCGGGUUUUUUGGAACUAUCAUCCAACUAGCACAUGUAGAACUGUAGAACUGAUAGAAGUUUCUUUGUAAUGGUAGGAUGUGUGGAAUGGGAUGAUGCGAGGAAAAAAUUCAUCAUGUCAUGUCGCGAUAUGUAUGAAGAAGAAGAUAAGGACCCAUGGUUGUUAGGAAAAUGAAAAAAAAAGGAAGGCUUCAUUUUAGUGAGUCACUGUAGGUUUCUGGUAACAACGAAGAGAAGGAGCCAUAUAUUAAUAUAUAUGCUGAUUCUGUUAUAUGCAUGGAAUAAUGGAAAUGGAAGUUGGGUUUUUCAAGAGAUGGAAUGUGUACAGCAUCUCAAGCAUGAUGAGAUGUGCCGACUAAGUAUUGUACCAUUAAAUCUGAUUCCAAAGAGUAAUGUCAAGCAUAGCCAAGUUAUAUAAGGAGGAUAUCUGGACUGGGGUCACCUUGCUUAGGACUUUUGAUGGACUUGGUCUAGGCUUGGUAGUAGGAAGACCAAGUUUAAUUAGUGUAUUUAAUGAUUGAGUGGGAAUGCUUUAUGGCAUCACUAGACUUUUAGAUAUUUUCAGACCAUAAUGUCAUAAUCAGUAUUCAGUAACAUGACUAUUGAUUGUGGUGGUGGAACGUGUGUUCCCCACUUUUCAAGAAAAAUCUGUAGUUGGGUGGUAAAAUAUGUUCCUUAUAUUCUUGUCUUUUUUUUUUCCUCAAAAAAAGAUUAUUAUAUCUGACUAGUGUUUAUACUUUCUGUUGAUUAUGGAGAAAUGGUGAUUUAUACAUUAUAACUAUACAUUUAUUACUUCUGACAUUCAAGUGAUUUAGUUGGUGUCUCCAUCUUUUUAUUCUGAACUUGCAAAUUUAAUAGAGUUUGAUUUACACCUCAUACUUUCAAGUAAUCUGUUUUUGUCCUUCAUCUUCUUAAUGGAUGUGAUGCCUUACAUGGAUGUGUGGUUGGAGACUCCAACUAACUCUACAAGCUGCUUAUCCAGUAAACCGAUUUCAAGUGUUGUGGGAUAGGCAAUGGAUAACAUAGUUGCCCAUCAUCCUAACAGAAUGUUUAAACAUGAUAUUUUUGAACUCAGAAUUGAUUGUAAAGGAGAAAUAGAAAAGGACUUUGCUCCUUGAGUUUUUCAAAAUAAACUCAACCCUUGUGUUGGAUGGGAAGUGAAUGAGAUACUAUGAGGGACAGCAUGGUUGGCAGAUCUAGUCAUCUGCUGUUUCUUCACUCACCUUCUCAUCCGUAUGUGCCCAUGCUGAUAAGAUAAAUAAGUAUUUUCACCUGUGUCAUGAUUAUGGUCUAUCAUUUGAAGCCUCUGAUUCUGAUAUUGGUUACUGCUAUCUGAAAUCACAGGGUUCAUUUAUUGUCAGAGUGAAGGGGCCUGAUGGGUGGUCAUUUGAACCUGAUACUGUGAGUUGAUGGCUGGACCAGUAUCCCAAGCACUUUUCAUUAACAUAUACAGGAAAUUGCCUUGUCUACUUGAUUUCUUUUUAAAAAAAAUUAUGCGGUUUGGCAAACUUUUCAGGUUCCUGUUAUUAUUGACCAAAACGGCUGUAAUGCAAAUGCAGAUAUCAAUUUUCGGUUUACAGGGUCUGUGACCUUUGGACAUUUUUUUGUUAUCCAUUAUUUGUUUAAACAGAUGAUUUUUGUUGGAGUUAUAACUUCUGGAUGUAUCUUACUUACUGGGGAUUUUAUUUCUGUAGAUUCAUGAUAUCAGGAAGGGUUAAGGGUGCUGUUGGUGGUGAGAGCUGUUCCUUAAAGGAUGGAGGACCUUCUGGUGUAGCAGUUGAGCUAUUGUCACUGUCAGAUGAUGUCAUUGCAUCUGUUCUGACAUCGGCAACAGGGGAUUAUUCUUUCACAAACAUCAUUCCAGGUUUGACUUGCUUUCUUUUCUUUCCCCUUGUUUACCUUAAAGUAAUAUCUAUGCAUUCCAGGGUUAGAUUGAGAUGCGAGUUUGCCUUCUUUUAUUAUCAUUUGAGAUAUUUUAAAAAGUCAUUUAUUAUUUUUAAAAAAAUUGCUAAAUUUAUAUUCUAUCCUCACCUUCCGAACCAUUCUGAAAUUUUGAUAAUAUCGGGUUUCUCAUCGGAUUAUUGUAGUUUAUUUUUAAGUCUUCCAGUAAUUUGCAGAGACCUAAAAUUUUGCUGGAUCUUUAGCUUGAACCUUUGAAUGUCAAGUGCAGUUUCAGUCUUUCUUAAAUUGUGGAAACAUACUCUCUCUCUCUCUCUCUCUCUCUCUCUCNNNNNNNNNNNNNNNNNNNNCUCUCUCUCUCUCUCUCUCUCUCUCUCUUCCAUGGUAGGCACUAAACUUGCCUGGGCCAAGAAUUUAGCACCAUACUUAAAGGGUUGAUAACUUGAUGUCGGUGUGGCCGCGGUUAUAAGAACUUAUGCAAUCUGUUUGUGGAGUCUUCAUUUAGAUUUCUCCUUCACUGACCAUGUCUAUCGAAAAAAAGUUUGGGCGAUGAUUACAAUACUGUCUGUGUGAAGUUAUUUGCUUUGAGACUUGAUAUUUCAAUAAACGUUUUAAUAUGUCAAAUGCACUAGCAAUAUUUUAUUUAUUUGUACAUUGGAGGAUUAAAGGCUAAUGUUACUGGUGUGUCUUUUUAUAUCCUACUCUAACUUCUUAUUUCAAUCUUGUAAAGAUUGUUUUUCCCCUCUGCUAUAAUGAAUGGUUUACGAGUCUUCCAAGUUAUUUGUUCCUUUUUUUCUGAUACAGGAAAAUACAAGUUACAUGCUUCGCACCCAAAUUUAGAAAUUGAAGUUAGAGGUUCACCAGAGGUUUGAAAUCUAUUAUGCCUUUUUAGUCUUGGAAAAACAUGAAGUGUUACUUUAGCUCUUGUUAUUUAUUGUGGUAGGUCAAUUUGGGCUUCGGCAAUAUUGUGGUGGAUGAUAUCUUCUUUGUAUUGGGAUACGAUCUUGAUGGAUUUGUAGUUGCACAGGUACUGUAGCUACUGCACAUUUAUGAAGUUGCAUUUGACAAUUUCUUCUCAUGGAGAUUGAUUGAUGAUUUUGAUAAUUAGACUUGUAGUUGGUGCUAAUGCAUGGUUAUUAAGAUUAUGAACACAUAAGGUGAACAUAAUAAACAAAAGGUUUUAUUAAUAUUUUUAUAAAAGCAUCUGGACUCCCAUUUCCAUGGUCAAGCUAUUUGAAUUUGCUUUAAAAUUACUUUAAACUACAAAGGAGAGUAUUCUUAAUCUUUAAAUACAAUUACUGCAAUUUGGUACAACAAUUGUAUUUUUGGAGUGUUGCAAUCUUUUCUUUUUCAUUAAUGUUUAAAUGCAAUUUACAACAGCUUGAUGUCAGGAAUGAUGAUCAUAACUUAAAUGCUAAUUCUGCUUAUUCCUAGAACAAAUCAAUAUGAUGCUUGUUUAUAUACCUAAUGGAUUCACCUGUAUUUUUAAACGCUGGAAUCACUUCACUGUUGUGGCAGGGUAAUCCAAUUUUAGGAGUUCAUUUAUACUUAUAUUCAGAUGAUGUGUUAACGGUGCAUUGUCCCCAAGGAGUUGGUACUGCCCCAAGGGAAAAAAAUGCCCUUUGCCAUGCCAUUUCUGAUGCGGAUGGGAAGUUUACAUUUAGAUCGAUACCUUGUGGUAACUUUUUUUUGCAUUUCGAAGUGGUCAUAAUUUUGUUUCUUUAUAUUGUUAUUAUUGUUGUUGUUGUUAUUUGUAGGGUUUGCUCGAAUAUAUAUUCUUAUCUUUUUCUACAUUGCAAAUGGCUGUUCUAAAAUUUCACCAUUUGUUCUUUUUAUUAAUCAGUUGAGUACUGUUAUACGCCUAUGCUUAGCGGUAUGCUAUGAUCAAUAUUAUAUCCUUUCUGAUGCUUGGAAUUCCCUGCCAUGCUUCACAACUCAGUAAACCAGUGCGACUAAUCUGUGUCUAUGUGAAAAUUAUUGCAUGAGCCCAAUUUAGGUGCAUUUUGGUUUAACCUUCUGUGCUAGCUUUCAGGGUUCAGUUUUUUUUUGGAAUAUUUUUUUUUAGCUACAUGUUGUAAGAUUAGAAGUUAUCUUAUUUUCAUAUUUCUUAGAUAGCCUUAUUUUGCUAGUCACUAACUUGCGUUCCAUAUAAUGCAUGAAGGUAUCUUGUGUUACGUUAGAUUGGAUACGUGUUUCAUGUAUUUAAGGAAUGCAUACAGUCCAUAAUUACAUCUAUAUAAAUAUCAUCUUAGAGGCUUUUGUUUGCUGAUGCCUGCUUUACACUUUGUCUUUUGAAAGCUGUAGUUAAAAUGUUAUUGUUUAAUAAGUUUUGAUUAGGGCACUUUGAGAAUUCACUAUCUGCCAAUGUUUCAUAAUAUAUUGUUAAGUUGAGAAAUAGGGAUAACUUAAAAUUUAAUAUUGUCUGACCAAAUGUCUUAUUAAGAUUUAUAUGAUCAAAUUAUGCAACUUGGUCUUCUAAAACAUUUUAAUUUUUAUCAAAUUCUGUUUAUCCAAUUAUUUUAGUGGAUAAUGAUGAUGAGGCAUUAUCCACUAAAUUAAUUGGGUAUAAACAGAAUAUGAUCAAAAUUAAAAUAUUUUAGAAGAUCGUGAUGCAUACAACGAUGUGGGUUUUGAGUCCUAGGGCGACCACUUUGUAUAAAAAAUGCCAAGGAUUAGGUCUAUCCGUAGUUGGCCCCUCCAAGGACCUCGGAUUACUGGAAGCAUAAAUGGGCAAUGGUGAUAAUGAUGAUGAUAAUGUAAGAUAUAUGAUAAUGAUGAUGUGAAAAAUAUUGACUUUAUGAUAGAUUGCAAAAACUGCUACUUUUGUUCAUUGAAAGUGGCUAGUUUGCCUGGUUAAGAGCUAACUCUUCAGUUCAUUUGCCUCCUUAAGAUCUGACACCUGUUCAAUUUGCUUGCUCAAUUUAAGAGCAAACGCUGAUCCAGUUCAAACUUCCAUUACAGGUGCAGGUGGGUUAGGUAGAUCGAGAUUUAAACCAGGCCCAUCCAAUUUAGAAUGAGAGAACUGUGUUUUACCUAAACCAGCAAGUUGGGUUCCCCUUUGAAAGCACGAUAUCAAGCCUAGCACCAAAAGCCACCCAAUCCAGCUAAAACCAACAUGAAGUUGUUUAAUUGUUUGGGUUUCUCGUAAAUCAAAUAAAUUUUAAGCUGACCAAAAUCUAACUAAAAUCAAGAUAGCAUGUAGGCCGAGAAUUUAGAGCUGACGAUGUGUGCCUAAUUCAUUGGAGGCAAGGUCCAGCUCAAGCUUGACCUAAACUUGACUGCAUCCACUUGUGCUAUUAUUUCCAUGUGUCUUACCAAAAAUUGCUAAUGGAAUGUCUUUGCUAAAUGCAGAGCAAGUCAAAAGUUGCUCUUUUUUUUUUCCUCCUCUUCUUCGUGAAGCACUUCCUUGUAACAGCUUUACAGAAAGGCCUUCUACAGUAGCAUAUUAAACACAAAGCAUGCUAUACAUGAACUUGUCCUGAAACUGCUACUGAUUCUACACUGUCUUUAUAGGGAGAAGUGGUUGUAGCUCUUAAUCGGCAAGACAAUCUUACUAUGCUUCAAUAAUACUUAUAGAUAACUUUGUGAUUGUGAUGUUGAGUCUAAUGAUCUGCUAGUUGGUGAAUGUUUUUUCUGACCUAUAUUUUAUUUUAAACUAAAUUUUAUAGUUAUUUUUAAUAAUCAGAGUUCCUGAAUUCAGAUGUUUCUAAACUUGAUCAUGAUCAAGAGUUUGUAAUUGUUUUUUCUAUUGGUGCCUUUUCUGUUAUAGCAGAGAAAGCCUAUUCACUGUGGCUGUCGUUUUCUAUUUUCUCUCUGAUUUGUCUAUAGGGAUAUACGAGCUUCUACCUUACUACAAGGGGGAGAACACAACUUUUGAUGUUUCACCACCUUCAAUGAGUGUAUCUAUUGAGCAUCAUCACGUAACAAUCCCCCAAAAAUUUCAGGUAUGGCUAGUUCUUGGUGUAGGUGAGAUCUAUUUAGAGAAUUUUGGAUAAAUGUUAUAUUCAUGCUAAGACUCAUUCUUCCUAGUACAUAGUUGUUAGGAUAAGAAUAGCUUUCUGCCGUCUAUGUUAGGCUUUUGAAAAUUUUAAUACUUGGCACUUUGAUCCAUUUGUUAUUUUCUUCUGGUGUACCCGUAGCUUUUAUUGAAUAACAAGAAUUGGAAGGAAUGCAUGUCCAAGAGAUAACGUGCGGAAGUUUUGUGUUUAUCAGAUUUGUUUUUUUGUAGGAAAGCAUCUUUAUGGAAUUCAGUUCUGACAAAGUGAGAUUUGAUUUUUUUUUCUAACAAAAGUUAUGGCAAACAUUUCUUUUUGAGUGGCUACAAUCAAUGGUGCACAUACUCGAACAUAUUGACAAAGUCCCCAUAAAUCUUUCACCUAAUUGUAACCAUAACCAUCCUUCAUCGUACCAAAUACUAGAAAAUUACACAUGUACUUACACUCAACUUGAUUUCUUGGGCUACUUAUUGCCCAACAUUUUAAGCUAUGCAACAUUGUACGCAUUAUUGUUGUUCUAUAAAUUUUCCUUUAAAAAUUAAGAUGCUAAGAUAUGCAUCAAUUGCAUAUCUCAGAAACACCUCUCCACUUCAUCCAACCAAUUCUAUUACAUUUAUCUUCAUUAUUUCUCCAUUAUUUGUAUAAUAGAUCCUGGUUAACAAAAGUGAUCGCUCUGUGGAAUCUUUUGGCCAUCAAUCUUAAUUGGAAUCUCGUCUUUAUUUCUAUUUGCACUAAAUUUCAUUUCAUAUUACUCUCUUGUCUGCUAAUCAGUAGGCCCUUAUCCUCUAGAAUGUCCAUAAAUCCAAUUUAGCAUUUAAUGUUGUUUUGUUUCUCCUCAUCAAUUAGCACCAUACUAUCUGCCAAUAACAGACAUCUAGGUAUAUCUUCCGAAAUAUUAGUGGCAUGGUCAUCCAUAAGUGUGUAAAAACAUUGGGGCUAAUUGCAAAUUAUUGGCUCAAUCUUAUUGUGACUGAAUGGCACAUAAAUCUGCAUAUAGAUUAAAGCGGAAUUGGAUAUGAAGGUAAUAUAACUCUCUUAUACUUCCACCAGUGACCAUCAUAGUCCCCUUUCUCUUCAUGUUGCUUACUCCAUGAACAUCUUGAUAAAUGCUAAAGCCAAUUGGUCAGAACCUCUUGUUUUUUGGAGAAGAAAGCUAAUGUAAUCUUUAAGUGGAAGAAGUUGUUGCCAGAAUAUUGGCAGUUGUUAGGUUGAUUAUAUCAUGAACCAAGCAAUGAUGCAGAUUCAGCUUGCAUCCUCUGAUAAUGCAAGAUCAGAAUUGAUGAUGGGCGAAGACUGAUCUCAUAAAAAAAGGCCAUUUACAUGAAUGUUUUGUAUUCUAUCUAGUGCUUUUUAUUAGCCACAGAAUUAACUAGUUUGAGCAAGGAGAGGGUGUUGAAGUUGGUCAUAAUAGCCUAUUAUGGCUGUUGGAUAAAUAUAAUUUCAUGAGAUAGAUACUUUUAGUGUUGCAAGAAAUGAACUGUUACCAUUUUUAUGUUCUUAAGUGCUUGGUUUCACCAUGGAUUUUAUUCAAAUAAAAGUCAAAUCCAAGACAGCCUGGAAAAAAGUCUGUAUAGUUGCAUCCAGCCUUUGAUGGGUAAACAGGAAGGGGUGGAACCCUAGAAACAACAGUCCAUCAGAAUUCGAAGAAACAAAUGUAGUCAGACCAUCUUCAUGCUACUAGGUAUCCUUGAGCAGGUACAAGGUCUGCUUGCUGUGCAAUAGGGAGUCGCCCUACUGUAUCAAGCUCUUCAACUGGCUAGAAAAUAAUCCAAUUCCUUGGUCAAAGUGCAGUAUCUUGGCAAUCCUUAACAAUCUGCCAUUUUCUCAAGGGCUUGCUGAUCACUUUCGAGCUUAACAUACUAGGAAGCAUCCUUUGGUUUCAUCAUGUGGCCAUAUUUGUGCGGAUAUUUUCCAAGAGUGGUAGUAGGAGCCUAGUCGUCUAGAAGUUCUGGUGUAUUUCAUGAUAUUUUGUGAUCUUUCAGGAACUAGUGAUCAAUUGCUUGAUUUUUCCACUUUGCUAUGGUGCAAUUGAACACCUAGGUAGGAUUUGGUUUCAUGACCAGGAGGAGGAAGGUGUCAACCACUUCCUCUUAAAAUCAGAUUAAUUUCUUGCAAUUAACCAUUGCUUGGUCCUUGGGUGCUUUAUAGUAUAAGUGACUAUUACUUAAAAAGCUAAAACACAUAUAUCAAAUAAAGAAUGAAAACUUUUUUCUGUUCUAAUCAUGUGGGUCGUAACUUGUAAUAUGAUAACUACAAUAGUCCAAUCUCGUAAUUCAUCUGUUGGGUAUUUAAAAACUUAUAAAUAUACUAAUAAAUAAUGAGUUUAUAAUUUUAAAUUUCUCACCUAAUUACUAGUGACUUGAAAGGGUCACAUAAAGAGUUUGCUAAUGGCCCAAAUAGCCUUGCUACUGUGGUUGACAUGCAGUUACACUUGCUACCCAGACAUUACCACCAUUCUAAUGAAAAUUAGAACACGAAAAAACCCUAUGAGAUAGUAAGUAAAAUUUUCUGCGUCAGGAUCUUAUGGCGAUUUACAUUCCAUCAGUCUGAACUCAAAAAUUCUGAUGAAUCUUGAAGACAUCCUUACUGAGUUUGUUUGAAAACAGCAGGUGCUGUUUGUAUGAAUAUGUAGGUUAAACUAAAGGUGCACCAUUUUGAUUUAUUAUAUUGAUGAUGUUUGGCAUGUGGCUGAAAUAGAUAAAAUCAUUUUUUUUCGUACAUUCACUCUGAAGAUAUAUCUAUUUCUCUGUAUAAUUUUGCGAAGGAAAAACCAAAUAAUCUAUGAACAUAAAUAUGGUGUCCUGGUUUGUUAAAUUGUCCUGUUUUUGAGCUUCAGGAGUUCUGAACCUGUAUAGCAAGAAGAAUGGCAAGCAUUCAUUUGUUGGUUUAAGUCUAGCAUUGUUGUUGAAGCAGUUAGAAAUGUGCAAAUUGAGUUAUACUUCUGAUAGUUUGAUUUGUGCUCUAAACUUCUGAGGAAUAUCUAAAACAUAGAUAGAUAAUUUGAUGUGCAUCUAGAGCUUUGUGGAAUUGAGUUUAUCCAGAUACAGACACUACUCUUCAUUUGCUUCAAUUUUGUUAAACAGUAAAUGCAUUUGCUAUUGAAAUACUUUUGUGGAUAUGAUUGUGCCUAUGUUGUUUAACUUGGAGCUACUACCAAUGCGAGUUAAAAUAUCACAAUAUGGACUAUACAGUUAUUUUUAGACUAUUGAAUAGUUUGUAGCUGGUAAAAUCUUUGAUGAUGUUUAAAUUUCUGUUUUCUUUUGACUUACUUGACAAAUGCCCUACUGUUUUAUGUUUCCUUUACAGCAGUUAACAUUGUUUCACAUAAUUUUGAUAAGGUCACUGGGUUUUCUGUUGGAGGCCGUGUUGUUGAUGGUUAUGGUGCUGGAGUGGAUAAUGCGACAGUCAUAGUGGACGGGAAGUUGAGGGCUAUUACAGAUAGUCAAGGAUACUACAUGCUUGAUCAAGUAUGCUUCUAGUCAAAUUAUUCCAAUCCAUUUGUGCUCUUUGUUUAUACAUGAUUAUUCCAUAUUAUUUUUCUCUACUUUGAAUCAAGGUUUGCAUAUCCGGUAUUAGGAACUGUACCAGUAUGUUACCGAUUCGGUAUGAUAUGGUCGAUAUGUUAUGAUUCCCAUAUAGGUGCAGGCUUCCAACACUUUUUUCUCACUCUUGACCAUUGUACCGCCCAAAAUCGAGCGAUAGAGAUUGGUACGAAGUAAGGUUCGCUAUCUCAAUACCGGAUACUAUACCAUAUCAUGCCGGCACAAUGUCGGUAUGCCUGGUAUGGGGUAUGGUUGGUAUACAAGGCUCGGUAUGCCCCCCGUACCAAGUCUCAGUUCGGUACCAGUACGGUAUGCCUAGUAUAGGAUGGUAUGUGCCGGUAUGGCGAACCUUGGUACUAGGCGGUACGAGGUGGUUCAACUCGGUUCAUAUCAGUGUGGAUAGGUUUUGGCUUACAUAGUGAAUUGAAUCUCGGUACGGUUGGUAUGUUUGGUGCAACAGACUUUUUUUUGAAUUGCUGGAAUGCAUAUAAAAGUUUCUUGUUAACCCAAGCACUUUUGAACCUGCUGCUCCAACAUAUUGCAAAUAAACAAGAAUUCACCUUUAAGCAAAUCUUCUCCUAUUCAUUUUUGUAAUUUUUAGAACCAUGUUUUGCUGUUUGUUUCUACCUUGAGGCUGCAAUCUUCAUCAAUUCAUGCCUUUAAAUUCUUCUUCACUUGAUAUAGGAUCUUCGAGAUUUCUUCCCUUCUGUUCUAGAGCCCUAUACUUGAGGUACUUUUGUGCCAAGGCCUUUUUUGUUAUCUGACGUACGUAUUUACGUCGUCCGUAUAAGUUCUCUUUGAUUCUGUCCUUAUUCCUGCAGCCUCGAGAAUUGAUUUAUUAUACCCAAUAACCUUCUUGUCCUUUUAGUUUUACCAUCCACCUACCUUGAAAGUCUCAUUCUAUUUAUGCCGGCCUUAUAGGCUUACACUUUAUUUAUGGCAUAACAGUUGUUAUAAGUUACAUCUCUAUUGUCCCAAGAAGAUCACACACUGUGGUAAAUUUCUUAUGCAACUGAUGGAAAAGGCCCAAAGAAAUGAGGAAGAGGCCCCAAAAGGUUUAUGUUUUGAACUGUAUGAAUUAUUUUUGGAGAGAGCCGGUGAUUUUGAUAGUUUUUGUUCUUCUAAACUAACUUUAGGUGACUACAAUUUUCUUCCCGUUCAUAUGCUUGACUCAUAUUGUCCAGGAAAAGGCUCCUUGCCACACAUUAUUUAUAUAAAAUACAGUGUUUCGUGAUCAAACAAUGUUAAUGCUGAUUGUUUAUCAUGAUAAAAUUUUUAACGGACUAAAUAUUUAAAAUUUGUUUAGACUGUUGUGCAUUUCAGCUUUAGUGGGAGUUUGGGCAGUGUAAAUUUACAGAUGAAGUUUUCCUGAAUGACUUUCUACCUUGAAAUGGUUGUACAAUAGGUUCAAAGUAGGCUAGUUGAAGCAUCUCGACUGUAAUGCAGCAACUGGAUGCUAUUUGGACUUAUGGAUAGAUUUGACAAAUUAUUAUGUGAUGAUGUUUUGGUAGCAAUUUCAUCAUGUAGACUAGAAUGUUGGGCAUUGAGGAUGCUACAUUGCUAAAGGAUAGAGUGUAGCGAAGGUGCUCAUGCCAAGGAAAAAAUGUAUUGUAAUAUUGGAAUGGUAGAGUUGGAAAUGAGUACAAAUCAUAGGAAAGUUAGGAGUGGUACCAGUAGAAAGCAAUGAAGUAAAAUUUAAAAGCAUUAACAACCCUGAUGAGGAGAGGAUCUAAAAAUGGGGGUUGAAGGGUUGGGAGGAAAUAGGGAUGAACUAUGAUGCUUAGAUGGAUGCCGUGUGUAGUUUUCUUUAAAGAAAUGCUCUACUUUAAAAGUUCUGGCUGGGAACAACUUCUGGUAAGACUGCCUUAACCAACCUUAGUUAUUACUAUUAAUGAUUAUUUUAUUUGUCUAAUUAUUAGUAUAUCUAGUUAUCUCUUCAUAUUAGCUUGUCUUACAGAGGUAUUGGUACUUCACUAAAUUGGUAGAAUCUGUUUCAAGCCCUAAAUGGGCUUUUUCUGCUGGUAUAGACUAAAGAAUAUAAUAUUACGAUUUAUUUGAUUGAUUUAUCAUAUUCAUCCAGGAUGGAACAGCUCUUCUUACUUUAGCCUUUCUGGGUUUUGCCCACCAAAAGAACCCCUUCUGGUUUUCUUUUUAGUUGACUUCUAACGUAUCACAUUUUAGUUUUUCAGUAAGAAAUGUGUUGAUUCCUAAUGAAAUGAUCGGAGGGACAUUUGUUCCCAUUCCUUUCUUUUUUUAUAAAUUUAAAUCUAAAUGGGACAUUGGUGUUGAAAAGGAUGCAAGUAUGGUUUUAUUUAUUUAUUUUAAUGUUUUUGUUGAAGCAAGAGCCUUUUUUCCAGGUUACAUCAAAGCAUUACUCCAUAGGGGCAGAGAAGGCCCACUACAAGUUUAACACACUGGAGAAUUUCUUGGUAAGUUAGUAUUCUGAUAUAUUUUUCAUGCGAAACCAUUUAAUUUCUUUGGUUUAUGUACCUUUACUCUUCUACUAUUUUAUUAAUAACAAUAAGCAAUUAACAUUGUUAAUAUUGAUAUCAGGUUAUGCCAAACAUGGUUUCCAUUGAUGACAUAAAAGCUGUCCGCUAUGAUAUCUGUGGUGCUGUUCAAAUGAUCACUGCAAAUUCAAAGGCUAUGGUAUUCUAUUAUUGGAUAAAUUUUUGGGCAAUGUAGAUGAUUGUACAAUUUUUAGUUUCCUUAACCACUACAUGAUUGAUUGCUAUGACUAGGUGACACUGACACAUGGGCCUGAUAAUGGCAAGCCUCAAAAGAAACUCAUAGACGAGAAUGGAAAUUUCUGUUUUGAGGUAUGUUUGACUUUUUAGUGGUACUAAUUUUCUUUUUCUUUCCUUGGUGCUUCUCUGUUUCUCAAAUGGCUUGGUUUCAUGGUGAUUCUCCUUGUUGCUACAUGCUUAAUAAGAACAUGAUGUGUCUAUACUUAGUAAGAACAUGAUGCAUCUAUACUUAGUAUGAUCAUGAUGCGUCUAAACUUGGUGUGAACAUGAUGCGCUAAACUUAGUAUGAACAUGAUGCGUCUAAACUUAGUAUGAACAUGAUGCGUCUAUACUUAGUAUGAACAUGAUGCGUCUAUNNNNNNNNNNNNNNNNNNNNNNNNNNNNNNNNNNNNNNNNNNNNNNNNNNNNNNNNNNNNNNNNNNNNNNNNNNNNNNNNNNNNNNNNNNNNNNNNNNNNNNNNNNNNNNNNNNNNNNNNNNNNNNNNNNNNNNNNNNNNNNNNNNNNNNNNNNNNNNNNNNNNNNNNNNNNNNNNNNNNNNNNNNNNNNNNNNNNNNNNNNNNNNNNNNNNNNNNNNNNNNNNNNNNNNNNNNNNNNNNNNNNNNNNNNNNNNNNNNNNNNNNNNNNNNNNNNNNNNNNNNNNNNNNNNNNNNNNNNNNNNNNNNNNNNNNNNNNNNNNNNNNNNNNNNNNNNNNNNNNNNNNNNNNNNNNNNNNNNNNNNNNNNNNNNNNNNNNNNNNNNNNNNNNNNNNNNNNNNNNNNNNNNNNNNNNNNNNNNNNNNNNNNNNNNNNCUAGGACUUAGACGUCGCAUUCGAACGUUACUGGAUUGGCCCCUUUUUUUACAGAAAGCUUCAGCAAAAACCCUCCUGUUCGGAUCUGUUCGGCAAUCCAUAGUCAUGUUAUAGUUGUAGAUUUGGAUCCUAGAUGAUGAGGCAGCAUAAUGCUUGCUUCUUUUAUUCUAUAAGCAUCUAUUUUCAGCAUCAACUCAAACUUGGUUCAAAUUUCUAUGAUGUAGGCCUUAACUAGAUUGAGCUAGAUAUGAUCAUGACUUUCUGUGGCCCAACCUCCCCUUGCAAAGAAAAACCACACACACACAUGCAUGCGUGCGUACAUGCUAAUCAAAACUUCUCCCUUAUCCUAAAUCCUCUGUUCCUCUCCUCCACUGCUCCUUUUCCAACUUCUUCCUUCUCUCAUCCUCCUGGCUUUACCAUCUAUAGGUCCCAACAAAACCCUGUAUUGCCUUGUCCCUUGCAUCUCGCAACUUAAUGUCUUGCAUGAUUGCAGAUCUUUUCUAACCACUCCUGACUUAAGUAAAUUAGAAAAUUAGCUUGCUCCCUGGGAUGGUCUCAUUUUCUUUGAAAAUUCCAUUUUACUGUAUAAAGUUUUGCUUAUAUGCUGACAUAAAUAAUGAGAUCAUAUGCAUAUAUGUUGUAUGUCGAUAAAGCAAUUAUUAAGGGAGCUUAUGAUAAAAUAAUACAACGGAAAUUAUGUAUAGCUGUUUGAAUCUUCUUUCUAUAUGCUAUUGGUUAUGAACCAUGCACCAAGUUUUGGGAUUAGUUAUCACACAUUCUCUUUGCACUUGUCAUUAUUUUUAUACAUUGAUGUCAUUAUUUUUAUACAUUAUUCUGAGAUCUGUACAGUGGUGGGUAUGACUUCUCUUUUAUUUGAGCUCCUGUUUUCUCUGUUUAAACUUUCUUGAUUAUUAGUGUUAUUUGGUUUUACUAUGUGCGUUCACUCUAUUGAUCAAUUCAUUGGUGCUAUUUUCCUUAUUAUUAACAUUUAUGUCAAUAUUAUAUUCAUUCUGCUUUUCUCUGUGUUUAGGUAUCUUUAUUAAUUAUGUUGUUUAUAGGUUCCAGCUGGUGAUUACCGGUUAUCUGCUUUUGGAGCAGAUUCUGCUAGUUCUUCUGGCCUAAUGUUUUCACCACCGUAUGUUGAUGUCAAGGUUAACCGCCCAUUGCUUAAUGUAGAAUUUGUUCAGGUAAAUAAGUUAGAAGAUAGAAUUUUUUAACCUUGCUAUAUUCAAGGCUAGAACCUAUGAUGAUUUAGCUUCAUUUACUCAUAUAGCGAUUUAGCUUCCUUUACUCGUGUAGCUACAUGGCUCUCUUUGCAAUGUAGGAGUUCAUAAAGUUAGUUACCUUUCUGAAACUAUUAUGUUUUUUAAUAUCCAGGCACUAGUUGAUAUUCAUGGUACCGUACUCUGCAAGGAGAACUGCAACCAGAAUGUAUCCAUUUCUCUUGUAAGAUUAGUGGAUGCAGGCAUGCAGGAAAGAAGGACAAUUGCCUUAACUCACGAGAGUGGUGAUUUUAUGUUUCAAAAAGUCUUUCCUGGAAGAUAUCAACUUGAGGUACCACUUUUAUCAUCUAAAUUCAUUUUUUAAAUCUUUCGAUGUCAGGCAAUCAUGAGUUAGCACUCCAAAAAUCUGGAAUAAUAAAAUCAUGCAGCUUAUCUAUUAAUUUUUUUGGAUGAACUAUCUAUUAUUUUUCAUUGGUGUAAAUAUUGACUCUUGUGCUUAGCCUCAUAUAUUCAUCUUAGGCUGCUGUUUGUAAUGCUUGAUGAUUGAUCAUGUUACCUAAUCUUUGUUUAGGUCAAACAUAUUUCAUCAUCAUCAAUGCCUGAAGAGGAUAAUUGGUGCUGGGAUCGAAGUGCUAUUGAUUUGGAUGUGGGUACUGAGGAUGUAACUGGAAUUGUCUUUGUCCAGAAAGGUUACUGGAUCAGCAUAAUUUCAACUCAUGAUACAGAUGCGAGAGGGUUAGGGUUUUACGAGGGGAGGAAUUCGUACACGUGAGAGAGAGAAGAACAGAUCCUUCCUAACUCCCUCGACUUCUCAAUCUCAUGGAGAUCUGAUCGCCAACAGCCAGAUCGAUAGCAAUGGCGAUCUCGGAUCUCUUUUUCUUCCUUCUGAUCGCGCUUUUCGCCUCCUCAACAGCCGCGGAUGGGAUCCAUGGCUGUGGUGGGUUCGUCGAGGCGAGCUCGUCUUUGAUCAAAUCAAGAAAGGCUUCUGAUACGAAAUUGGAUUACUCACAUAUCACGGUUGAGCUUUGCACAGUUGAUGGGUUGGUCAAGGACAGGACACUGUGUGCUCCAAAUGGUUACUACUUUAUCCCAGUUUAUGACAAGGGUUCAUUUAUUGUCAGAGUGAAGGGGCCUGAUGGGUGGUCAUUUGAACCUGAUACUGUUCCUGUUAUUAUUGACCAAAACGGCUGUAAUGCAAAUGCAGAUAUCAAUUUUCGGUUUACAGGAUUCAUGAUAUCAGGAAGGGUUAAGGGUGCUGUUGGUGGUGAGAGCUGUUCCUUAAAGGAUGGAGGACCUUCUGGUGUAGCAGUUGAGCUAUUGUCACUGUCAGAUGAUGUCAUUGCAUCUGUUCUGACAUCGGCAACAGGGGAUUAUUCUUUCACAAACAUCAUUCCAGGAAAAUACAAGUUACAUGCUUCGCACCCAAAUUUAGAAAUUGAAGUUAGAGGUUCACCAGAGGUCAAUUUGGGCUUCGGCAAUAUUGUGGUGGAUGAUAUCUUCUUUGUAUUGGGAUACGAUCUUGAUGGAUUUGUAGUUGCACAGGGUAAUCCAAUUUUAGGAGUUCAUUUAUACUUAUAUUCAGAUGAUGUGUUAACGGUGCAUUGUCCCCAAGGAGUUGGUACUGCCCCAAGGGAAAAAAAUGCCCUUUGCCAUGCCAUUUCUGAUGCGGAUGGGAAGUUUACAUUUAGAUCGAUACCUUGUGGGAUAUACGAGCUUCUACCUUACUACAAGGGGGAGAACACAACUUUUGAUGUUUCACCACCUUCAAUGAGUGUAUCUAUUGAGCAUCAUCACGUAACAAUCCCCCAAAAAUUUCAGGUCACUGGGUUUUCUGUUGGAGGCCGUGUUGUUGAUGGUUAUGGUGCUGGAGUGGAUAAUGCGACAGUCAUAGUGGACGGGAAGUUGAGGGCUAUUACAGAUAGUCAAGGAUACUACAUGCUUGAUCAAGUUACAUCAAAGCAUUACUCCAUAGGGGCAGAGAAGGCCCACUACAAGUUUAACACACUGGAGAAUUUCUUGGUUAUGCCAAACAUGGUUUCCAUUGAUGACAUAAAAGCUGUCCGCUAUGAUAUCUGUGGUGCUGUUCAAAUGAUCACUGCAAAUUCAAAGGCUAUGGUGACACUGACACAUGGGCCUGAUAAUGGCAAGCCUCAAAAGAAACUCAUAGACGAGAAUGGAAAUUUCCCUACAUCCAGCGAUCUGAUUCUUCUCGUGUUGAUUUGUCGAUAAGGGUAGCUUGUUUGCUAUAAAAGUUCCAUAAUGGAAAUAUAUAUGAUUUAUUGCGAGUUUUCAAAUAUAUAGAACCGAUUUAGGCAGCUUAAUGUCUUCAUUCGUGAUAUGCAGAGAGGGUCACAAAAAAUAUGCGUGGAGUCUCCCGGGCAGCAUGAACUUCAUUUUGUUAACUCAUGCAUAUUCUUUGGGAGCUCAUCAUUGACAUUUGAUACCUUGAAUCCUGUGGUGAUGUCCUCUUUUUAGUGCUUCUAGUCUUUUUUUUUUGUGUUUCCAAUUUGUGUUUAGAUGCCCUUUUAUUUUGGUGAGUUGUUUACUCAUUUACUGCCUCAAACUCUCCCUCUGUCAGCGUAUAUAUCUUACUGGAAAGAAGUACCUCCUUAAAGGUGAUAUUCACAUGGACCUGGCCUUGAAUCCAGAUGCAGUUGACUUAUCUGAGCACAUAGUUGUUGACAUACUUAAUAGAGAUGGAGUUUUUCUUGAUACCAUCUCUACUAAAUUUGCUUCUGAUAUAAAUGACCAAAGGACCGUUGCUGUAUAUGAAUACUCAAUCUGGUCAGAUCUUGGAGAGGAAUUCAUCUUUGUUCCUCGGGACUCAAGGUAUAUGGUAUAAUUAUACCGUAAUAUUUUUGCAAGUACAUCUUUUCUUGCCACACAAGUCUAUUUUUUUUAAAAAAUUCUUAACACUGGUAUAUGGGACAAUUUGAAUUAAUAGAAAAAUUGCAUCUUUAAUCAAAUACAUUAAAGCAUUCGGAAGAAGUGCCUGGUCUCUAUGUGCAUUUGAUUUUAGUGAGCUUGAGUGGGCCUGAUAAGAUCAAAUAGCAAGAUGAUAUCAUGAUCCUUAGGUAUUAUGAAACUUGUGCCAUGCAUGGUAUAUAGUUUAUACACAAUAGUCAGAUAUGAUGGCUUAGGGCUUUUUGUUAGCCAUAUCUCUGGCACAAGAUAUAACACACUGUUUACAGCUGAAUCCCCCAGGCAUGAAACCAUGUUGGUUCAUUGAUAUUCUUGUCACCUAUUUUACCUAUUGCUCUACCACCACCUAUGGUAAUCACAUCGUAUGGCCUCCAGUUUUGUUUCCUGAUAUUUUUGUGCAACUUGUUCAUUAACCUUAUCCUUACAAUCGAAAUGCCUUUACUAGGAACAUUCCUUGUUUCCAUUAUCUUUCUGGAAAAAUUGUUAGGAAAUCUAGUGCUAUUUUUUCUCUAAAUUAUUUCACAUUUCUAACUGAAUGCUAUAAAAUCCUAUUGCUUUACACGUUGCAUCAUUUCUGCAACUUUCACUUUGCUAAUAUUUACCUGCCUAUGUUUCCCAGAACCACCUACCACUCAUUUUCUCAUUUAGAAAAUUCAAGAAAGUAUUCUUUAUGCCUUUUUUUAUGUGAUUAUAAUUAACCAGAUCAAGUUUAUGUUACUCUUAACACGCCUUGUAGGUUUUUUCUUUUAGCACAGCUCAUAAUCAACUUUAUAAAUUGUGAUUCACUGCUAAUUUAGCCUUUCAUUUCUUGUGUAUCUUAAAGCAGUUUUUACAGUUUAUCACCGAGAUUUCGCACUAUUAGUUGUCUUGCUAGCACUUGAAGCAUUGUUUAUUUGCCAUUGUUACAUAUGCUUCCUCAACAUUCCACCUUGAUGUUUCCUUUAAAGUUGCCAUGUUCCUUUUAAAUUCCAUGCACGUAAUUCUACCUUUCCAAUAAAAGUUAUCAUAUGAUGUGUCAUCUUGUUUCAUGUAGUGUAUACACUUGACCUCCUUCAUAGAAGUUUGCUUUGUAAGAUUUCUCAGUAUCCCAUAACAAGUUCCAAUAAAGGGCUUCUUUGGGUCAUCACCUUCUUAAUUGUACACAAUUCAUGGAUUAAUUACUGGCCAUGCUGUUCUCAUAUCCUUUAAUAAGUAACAUUUUCGACGAUGUAUGAUGGCUUUCAGAAUUGAGAGAGACUAGUUUAUGGGAGAAAACAUGGAAUCUGUAGCUAUAUAAAUGAGAUUUUUCAAUGUUAACAUAGAUCUGAGAGUGGACAUGCUGACCUGUUUUCGUGGAUCUGAUGUGAUAUAAGGCCAAUUUAGGCUAAUUCUUGCCAAUAUGGUUGUGCAUGGUUUACACCUAUUGUAUCAUAACAGUAGUUACUCAGCAUGAUGAUAUGUUGACUGGCACCUGACUUCGAGCUUUUUAAUGCAUUAAUUUCUGAUUAUAUCUCUAUUUUAUUGUCGCCAAUGCUCCAAGUUGGUACUUGAUUUCCUUUUCCCCCUUUGAGCCUGACUUUCCAUAAAGCUUCUCAUUAGCGAUGAACUUGGCUUUGCAAGCUAUUUUUUCUUUCACAGAUUCUUUUAGCCAUUUCUUUGCCUUUACAUUUCCUCCUUGGUCUUUUAAACUUUCUAUGCUAUUCCUGCUUUAUUGUUUGUUGAUUCUUCCAUGCAACUCAUGAUCGCUAGACAUAUGUUGGAAAUGUGAAGAAUAUUUCAACAAUGAUGCAACUGCAACUUGUCAUUUUGAAAAUCAUGAGCGCAGAUGCACAUUGAAAUUUGGGUCAAAAGGCUAUGUUACUCUUGGCAUUAAAAUGAAUCUUCAAGGUUGAUGAGAUGACAUUUGGAUGAUAGAGCUUGAAACCAAUAUUGAAAAUAACAUUCCUGGAUUGGGUUUAAUUAGCACAAUGCUCGUGAAAUUCUCUAUUUUGGAUCUUUGUCCUGAUCAGCUGUACGCAGCAUGGUUUUGAGUAUUAGACUGUAUAGGUCCCUACCAGACUCACUGUACUGCAACAGUAGGGAUCCAACACCCAGUACACCCCCCCCCUCCCCCCCCCUUCCCCCCCCACAAUAUNNNNNNNNNNAAUAUAUUAAGCAUUGGAAUCAAAAAUUGUACUGUACUUACAGUGUGUUGGUCGGUUACCAGUAUGGGUACCAAAACUGGUACAUGAAACCUUGACAUUAUAAUCCUUGUACUUCAUUUGAUGGCUACAACGUUCAGUUGUGGUGACCUUUGGUUGCUCUGACCUGAAUCUUCUCUACUGUAUGCAGAACUAGCAUAGACAAGAAGAUCCUUUUCUACCCAAGACAGCGCCUGGUAAGUGGUUUGCUAUAUCUUAAUUCAUCUCUACAUUCUGGUAUUAAAUUUUGCAUAUUAGUCAUAUUUACCGGUUAAAAUUAACAGGUGUCAGUUGCCAUUGAUGGAUGCCAAGCUCCUAUUCCUCCAGUUGUUGGUCAGGUUGGGCUAUACCUUGUAGGAUCGGUGUCUCCAGCUCUAUCUGGUGUUAAUGUACGAAUUCUAGCAGCAGGUGAGAGCAGCUAUGCUCCUUUACAGAAAGGGGAUUUGGCUUUUGAAACAGAGACAGGACCGGAUGGUUCUUUUACUGCUGGCCCCUUAUACAAUGAUACAACUUACAACAUUGAAGCCUCGAAGGUUAGCAACAAAUCCAUUUAAAUCUCUAACCUGCCGUUGAUUGAUCAGUUAUCAAUGUUUAUAAAACUGGUUGGGUUCUUGAGUCCUAAUUAACCCAGGUUUGUAUUGAACUUUUGACCGGAAUAUAUGGCCAAGUAUUUGGGUUAAGCCAGUUUUUGGUCAACCUUAUCCGAUUAUAAGCUAACCUAACUCGGUUUGUGAAUAUAAUAAACAUAUAUUCUUGAAAUAUGGUAUAAAUUGUAGGGAUUACUUUUAAAGCAAGUUAUCCCCAAAUUCCUUAUUUCUUCUACUUUCGGUGAUGGUCCCAUCCCAUUCCCCAUCCUCUCUCUGAAACAGUCGACAAUGGCGACCAUUAACCCAGCUGAACACCCCCCCCCCCCCCCAACUUUUCCUUCUCCCUUUUCUUUUCUUUAACUCACUCCCUUCAUAUCACUCUCUUCAUUUCAUCUGUAUCCCUUUGUAACCCUGCCCUGGUCGCUGUUGCUGCACAUAUGCCCUUGGAACCACCACAUCGUAGUCGCUCCCUACCUCCACGACUGCUUCACGUCCACCGCCCCCAAGCUGCCACCCACCCCUUCCCCCCCUUAAUCCAACCCUUACCCUUGUCAUCCCACCUCCUCGUAGUUUUGUAGCCCAUCUGCUGCCACUGCUCUCUUUCACUAGCUCACCUCCUCCCUGUGGCUCACCCUCUAACUUUCCAUCCUAUAUACACGACCAAUUAGUGUUUGGACAAAAUUUUUUUCCGUCAUCCCAUUUCGAGGACUCAUGGAAAUACCUUGGAUAGUACCACAAUCCGUUCUACGCACAAUAAUGUGUUGAACUACUUCAAUAAGUCUACACAUGAGUUAUCCGGCAUUUGAUGUUCAUACAACAGUAUCUACAACUCUUUUGCGGGCUCCGUUGAGUUGGCAACCCGAAAAUAAAAUAAAUAGGAUAUAUAUGUAAAUAUGGUCAAAAUAAAAAAAUCAAUUGAUUUACACUGCACGACCCCGUCAAAACAUUGAACUAGAACAAAUCAGAAAGAAAUAUUUGUUUUUGUUGAUAAAUUAAAAACACCAAAACAAAAUACCAACCAUUGUCCACUGACCGAACCCUGAAAUAAAGCUGAAUAUCUUUCUCCAGAAAGGAAAAAUAAAUGCUUAACCCAACUAAGCUGGGCCAGAUCAGGCACCCAAAUGUUGUCCGAUAUGGGUUCAGGGCAUGGUUUUGCUGACUUGGUGGUUACUUGGAUUGAUUCUAGUCUACUAUUUAAAUAUUUGUUGGAUGGGGGAGCCCUAACCUGAGCUGAUCUGAACUUGACUCAUUCAUAGGCCUACUUGUGCAUCAGAAAAAGUAAUAUCUUCAGUAGCAGGAUCCUUACAUAUUCUAGAUUAGGGUAUGGCCAUAUAAGGCAGCUCAUCACCUUCUUUUUCAGAACUGUUGCAUUUAACUCUUGACAAGAAUUUAGUUGAAUAUUGGACUUAGUUGGAAGAGUAUUUUUCUUACAUCUGUGAAUAACUGUUAAUUACCUUAUUUCUGGACUUCUCUAUAGGUGAUAGAUUAACUUCUUUAAAAAUUCUUUGUUCUGAUGUUGCAGAAAAAAUUGAAAUAUGUUUACACAAGAUGUGUUCAUGUCUCAGAUGGUCUAUAUUGUCUACUUUCUGAUAUGUGUUUCCUUUGACCUUGAUACAGCCUGGUUAUCAUGUUAGAAAAGUGGGAAGCAAUUCUUUUACCUGUCAGAAACUUGGUCAGAUUGUUGUUAAUAUUUUUGAUGGAGCAGGAGCUGGAGAGUUGCUUCCUUCAGUUCUGUUAUCAUUAAGUGGUGAGGAUGGUUACAGGAACAACUCGGUUAGCGGUGCUGGUGGAACUUUUGUCUUUGAUAACUUAUUUCCUGGAAGUUUCUAUCUGCGUCCACUGCUGAAGGUGCUUUAACAAAUUCUUAUUCAUCAACUAUCCAUCAUAUGUCUGCUUAUGUUUUAGGAUUUUGCAAUUGCUUUUGACCUCUGUAUUUUACAGAUUCUUUGCGGCAUGUUGAUUUUUAUAUUAUAUAUCUUUUAGCUGGGUACCAUUUUUUCUUUUUCAUAGACCUGCGCAAGAAUCCUUUUAUGUGUUGAACUUAAAUUAAGACAUUAGCUGAUUCGAUAUAAUAUUUUCCUAAAUAUACGCCUUCUGAACAACAUCAUAAAUUGGGAUUCUCAGAAGUGUUCUGCAUAAAAAUCGUGAUUCAAAAAAGUUUGAGAUUUAUCGUGCUUCUGCUAUCCAUGAUAAAUAUCCGCAUUCCUUUUGUAGAAAGGUGAGCCAUCCUCAGGCGCUUCUGGAGAUUUCUCCUUUUCAGGAUCUUAUUCUCUCUUUCUUUCGUAGCUGGAAGUUUGAUUAGGGCACUGCUAGAGGCUCAUCCCCUUUGCAUUAGCCAUCCCUCAACCUGAGAAUUGGCACACCUAGAAUCUCUACCAUUCUAUGAAGGUCCUUUUUAGAUUUUUUACACAUGCCAUCUCACAUUGGAUGCCGAGGUGAAGAUGUGCUUUGUAUUAGUUGCCAGCUUAUUAUUUCUUUGUUGCACACAAAUACUAAAAGGAAGCUUGUGGAACUCCUAAAUUUAAUUUAAUGCCAAUUAAAACAUAAGAAUAAAUUAUCUGAAAUAACAUGAAGAAAAAUGAUUAAAAAGGACUCUAGAGGGACCCUUAUCACUCUGGGUGAUGAGACCAUUGGACCAUUAAGGGAUGCCUUUGGGAGCCCAAAAGAGGUUGCCUAACUUGACCCUGUUUACUCUAAAAAUCACAAACAAAAGAAAUCUCCCAUGAUGUGUUUGACUAGCAAGCAAACAUACUUGCACUGCGUGGAUUUCGUGGCAAGAAGGAUUUUUGUGCCAUAUUUAAUACUCCCAAGUACAUGAGUCUGUUUGUUGAAACCCAUGCUUUAAAUCGGUUCUUUUAACCAUACAAAAGGUCCUUCCUUUUGAUCUUCUUUCCAUAAUUUAAUUUUUAAAGCAUCCUUACAUGGUUUGAAUUCUUGAAACAUCUUCUUUGAAGGACUUGGUUGAGCGACCAAAUUUCUAUAGUCAGCUAAAUUAUUCCUUGGUUUCUUGUCUUUAAAAUAUUUUAUAAAUGGUGUGAUAUAGGCACUUAUUCAGCAUUUGUGAACAAUUUGGAGGGACAGGAUUCAGAAUUCUGAAAAAAAUGCAGAUGCUUUGGCAUUAAAUUUUUUAACGCAUAUUACUAAGCAGAUUUUUUAGGUUUUGUCGCUGAUUAAUUCAUUCAUUUUUCUCUGUGUCGCCCUUGCUUUGUAGUUAGAUUUGUGGCAGUUCAUUUAAUAAGGAUUCAUUUUUGUGUAAUGCUUAGUAUUUAUAUGCCACCUCAAUGUAAAAAAGUUGUUAUUGUUGAUGAAAAUUUUUAACUGCCUAGGCAUGAUUGCAACCUCAAUAAGGGUCAUCUAAAGUUGCUAGUUGAAGCAUAAUACCUCCAUGGUCACUCCAGUUUAUAUCAUACAUAAUCAUGUAUAACUUCUGAAUGAUUUAUCAACAUUACAUGUUUGCCAAGGACAAAUUAUGAUCUUUAGUUCUUUAAAUUCCAAAUUUUGAUUUGACUAAAGGUACACUACUUCUUUGAAUAGUAUUAUUGUUUAGCGUAUGCCUUAAAUUCUUGAUUGCUCAGUUGUAUCCAUUUCCCUUCCCUGCUUUUGUAGGAGUAUGCCUUUUCUCCUGCUGCAGUGGCAAUAGAAUUGGAUUCUGGAGAGUCUAAAGUGAUCAAGUUUUAUGCAACACGUGUUGCUUACAGGUUUGUGGAUUUGAUCUUGUCUUAUAGUUGCAUUCUCAGAGUCUCAUAAUCUAUGUUAUUCAUAAUGUUGUUUCAGUUACAUAUAUUUAGAAUACCGAAUUCUAAAAUAGUUUGUCAUAGAUGUAACAAUAUUAAGAAAAUGUGAUAAAAAUUAUAGGUGGUCUGACGAGAAUUAUGCCCAGACUAGUCUGUCCUUGAACAAACCUUCAACCUAUUUGUGUUCAUCAUUGAUCACUAACAGCUACUUCUAAGAGCAUAUGCCUCGGGUUUUAUUUAAUGAGACAUUAAUUCUGGUGAAUGUUUAAUCGACAUUAUGAUGUAAAAUAUUGGAGGAUAAGAGCUAUAACAACAUUGAUUCUUGUCAGACAUGCUGAAAGUAAGAUAUGGAAAAUCUCAAAAAAAAUCUGUUCCUAGAUAGUCGACUGAUUUCGUGCUAAAAAUUAUUUAGGAUGAGUCAAGGAGCUUUACUACUGAAUUUUUUUUGCUUGGACAAGGAGAGAAUCCUAGUUGACCAAAGCAACUUGUAUUAGCUCAAAAUUUAAGAGAAAGCCAGCUUGUCUUUCAAUUAAUUAUUAAAUCUAAGUAUUCUGAUUCAUGUAGACAGUCUGGUUGACAUGUGUCUCUCAGUUUGCUGUGAAUGAGUUGUUGAUUAUGAGGUACAUCAUGCAGAGAGCUUAUUGUUGGCUUCAACUAAGAAUUUUCUCUUGCUGUUCUUAGUAAAUGUUAGGAGGUCAUGCUAAAUGAUGCGCAUGCAAGGUUCUAGAUUGUUUGCUUCCAAUGACAUGUUAUAGGGCAAGUCCCUCUUAAUGGUGAUACCUUUUUGCAAGUUGCCUUCCCUAGUGUAUCCUUUAAAUCUUGUGGUAUUUUCACAAGUUGCCUCCCUUUCAGUCCCACUUUUUGAUUUUCAAGUUUGAGCUCUUGCCUGUGUUGUUCGCCCUUGACGUCUAGAACAUGAUCAAGAUCUCUUGGGAAGAAGCUUCAACAAGUUCCUCCAGCCGUUUGAGUUUGCCACAUCCCUAGCCUCUUUCAUUUCUUUUGUGUGGUCUAAGGUUCCUCUGCUCUCUUUCUUUGGCUUCUGAUGUAGAUUUAGGGCUGCAGGAGCUCCUUAGUUGACGAUGAGAUAAAAUGGAUAUUUAGUAGGUAGAUAUGAUGAUUUCCCAUAAAUAAGCCAAUUACCAUUGAUGUGGUUUUCUGGUUAGGCAUGUUGAGUGGCCACUCUAGCUGUUUCCAAAAUGAUAUGCACACAUUCUUUCCUACAUUACAGGAUCUAGAAUGAUUCUCUAACAUGUAGGAUUUCCUGGAUAUUUAUACAUCCACUUCUUUUCAGUCUUAUGCUGCAAAUGUCGUAUACAUUUUACGCACUUAAAACAGUGAAACUAAUAUACAACUGCGAACCCUGAUAAUAUUGCCAUAUAUUCUAGGCUACAAUUUAUCACAGAAAUCUGCUGCUUCUUCAUUAUGAUACAUAUCAAUAGCGUGUAUAACAACAGCUGGUGAAAUGAGUUAUAGUAUGUAAAGAGAUGACUAGAUUGUUUCCAAAUAGCAUUUGUUGGUGCAAAGUAGUCCUCAAAAUUUUAGGACUUCUUGAUUUUUUGUAUUUGCUCAUUUUGCUCUGUGAAUGACAAGCCUUUUUUUUAAAGGAACAAAAGAACUGGAAGGAAAAAGUUUCAUAUUGGGAAGGAUAUAAACUUGCAUAUGUUUUGGACUAUUCCUAUGAAUGAUAUGUUGAGAGUAAGUAGUGAAACUAGGAAUACCUGAAAAUUUAUUUGAUCAAGCACUUCCUGUGUAGGUGAUACUAUCGAAAGAUCGGUAUUUUUACUGAUAUACCAUGUAUUUUAGACAACAGCCAAUUUGCACAUAGAAUUUAUGCGGAUGCUUUUCAACUAUAUUCCAGUUUCCAAUGCUAAGGUUGCAGGUCCAAUUCCUAGUCAUUGGUCAACUUUUUCAUUAUACCGAGUCCAGUUUUUAUAAUCAUGUGUAGAUUAGAAUAUUAAGUUUAAUUAAUAACUACCUUGAUUUGUAACUUUGAUGUUGUUUCAAAUCUUGUGUAUGUUGUGCUUCUUUGUGAUUGUUCUUCAAUAUGAUAUUAGAACUAGUUUAACUAUAUCUUUAAAAAUUUUUAGAUUGUUCUUUUAUGUGCCAUGAAAUAAUCCAUAUCUUUAUCAUUUUUCUGAGGCAAUGUCAAAAGCUUAUUGCGAAUGUGCAAUUCUCUAAUCUUAACCAGCUUUUUCCUUAUAGUGCUAUGGGCAGUGUAUCAUUACUUUCUGGUCAGCCGAAGGAAGGUGUUUAUGUUGAAGCACGAUCAGAAUCCAAAGGCUACUAUGAGGAAGCAACAACUGAUAGUCUGGGAAAUUUUCGCCUUAGGGGACUCCUCCCUGAUACAACUUAUUUAGUAAAAGUAGUGGCGAAGGAUUACCUUGGAGUCACGGCAGUUGAACGAGCUUCUCCUGAUUCUGUUGUUAUAAAGGUAAGCUUUGUGGAAGUGACUGAUCACUUUUUUUGCUGUUUGCAUUUUUUUGCAUCUGAUGAUAGGCUCAAGAGAGCGCGUAAUUUUCUUGAUCAUCAAGGUCAAAUAACAGUUUCAUUGAAAAUGUGUGACUCAAGAAUGCACAGUGGGUAAUGAAUAUACAAGUGAAACUAGUCCUAGUGAUCCAUCCUAGAAAGGAGUAAUUAAUCAGUAAGGGGCAUACUUAAUUUUUUGGCAGUAGUUUGGAGGAAAAUAGAAGACCAUCAGUGAAUACUCAUAGUGAGGUAGAUGAAAGAAAGAAAAUACUUACAAUGAAUAUUCUGAUAUCGGUGGUUAAUAAAUAAUUGCCAGUUUAAAGUUGAAGUUAAUACGGAAAUAAGGAAUCCAGAUGAAAAAUUUAUGGAUGUUAGAUGUUAGUUAUACCAUGGUGAUGGCCACUUCAAUGCAAAGUGUUCACUUUUAUUUUUUUGUGAGCUUGCGCCAUAGUAAGUAAUGCUCAACAUAUUCACCUUUGCUUCUCAGUCUCAUGUUACUGGAUGCUGUAUUGCUUUGCAAGAGAUUAAGAUAAGUUAUUCUAGUCAUUUUAUUUAUUUUUCUUUUUCCUUUUCUUUAUAGAAAGGGCCUGUAGGGUCCCCCCCCCCCAACCAACAACACACACACCAAAAGAUCUUUAACUCCCAAAUCCUGCUGAGGGUGAGAUUGGAUCCCAGGUCAUAGGUAUAACUGCCAAUAGCUUUACCAGCUUGGUAAGUUGGCAUCUUCAAUCCCUUGUUAGCCUUGUUUAUCCAUAGAACAGAAGUAUCUGUCAAUUAGGUGUUUUGGGAAAUUCAUGGAUUCUUUUUUUCUUGUAGGCAAAUGCUGAGUUAUCAUAUCGUUAAGCUUUGUGCCUCUAAAAGUCAGUUACUGCUUUGUACAAACAGUUAUUUGCAUUAUUGUAAUUUAUAUUUUAUUCAUCUGUGGGUUCAUUGAACCUACUAACAUAAAGUGUUAUGCUUUUGAAAAUAACAAUUUUGUGCUAUAAUGCCCUUCUCAUUGUCAGGUGGCAUCUGAGGACAUCAGAGGCUUGGAUUUUGUGGUGUUUGAACAACCGGAGAUAACCAUUUUAAGUGGUCAUGUGGAAGGAAGUGACCUUGAAGUAUUACAGCCCCAUCUCUCUGUGGAAGUCAGAUUUUCUGCUGAUCCAUCAAAAAUUGAGACGGUCUUUCCUCUGCCACUCUCAUACUUCUUCCAAAUACGUGAUUUGCCCAAGGGCAAGCACCUUGUGCAGCUUCGGUCAGGGCUUCCAUCAAGCACUCACAAAUUUGAAUCUGAUGUAUUUGAAGUUGAUUUGGAAAAGCAACCUCAAAUUCAUGUGGGUCCUCUCAGAUUUAAAGUUGAGGAAUAUCAUCACAAACAGGUAGUUCCCAUCUGAUUUAUAUGAUUUCCCUGCAAAAGUUGCUUGCUGAAAUAUUUUAUUUUUCAUUUUUAUUUCUAUUUUGUUUGCCUUCAAGGUUUUAAAACCGGUACUGGAGGGCAUGCCCAUUUUUUUGAAAAAACCGAUACAGUAUCGGGUAAUGACACGGUACAAGAAUGUAUCCCAUGCUGACAUUGCCUACUGGUGCCUGUUUUCUAGUCGAAUGGUGCGGUACUGUUUGUACCAUCCCAUUUGGCAAUGUUUAAAGCCUUGAUGGACAAUAAAUUAUUGAUUUCUUUUUUACUUCCUUUUUUCUUGAUAGAUCUCUCCCAUGGGUGCAUGCCUGCAUGCAUGUGCUUUUGUGCGGAUUUACUUUGAGCUUAGUCGUAUAUAUUCAUUAUUCAAUUGUAGCAGCUGUCAUCUACUGAGUUGCACACCAGAUCAUUUGCCUACUUGAUUUUUACCUUCUCACUUCAAAGAAAAAGAAGUUUCCAUGCAAUAAUGCACGUGUCAUGGUUCAAAACUAACAAAUAAAAAUAUGAAAAUUAGAAUUUCUGCAAUCACAAAUGCAAACAUACUGAUGUUUCCAUAGCACAUGUUUUUGUGUCUAUCUGGAUGGAACCAAAAAAAGGGAUGUUUUUUUUUGUCUUAGAGAAACUGAAACUUUCGUAUAUUGCACAGGAACUAACUCCAGCUCCGGUCUUUCCACUUAUAGUUGGAUUAUCUGUCAUUGCCCUCUUUAUCAGUAUGCCAAGGUGAUUGAAUUUUGAAGUUAAUUUUUAUUUUUCUAUAAAUUAAUAAAUUAAGACGUAAUUCUUAUCAUUUUUCCACAGGUUGAAGGAUUUAUACCAGAUGGCUGUAGGAACGACUCCAACAGGAUCUGGUACGGUAUCCAGUAAGAAGGAAGCCCGAAAGCCACUUUUGAGAAAGAGAGUGUAUUAGUGGAAAGCAACGGCCAGAUAAUUUUGAGUUACAAGUGACUAUUAGAAACUUAGUUGAUCAUUAGUUAUUUUGACGUUUCAUUGUUGAUCAAGGUUGGUCUGAAUUCAACUUGUAAAUUUUUCUUUAAAAAAAAUCAGGAAAAUAUACAAUCUAAUGAUAUAGUUCAGUUAAACAUUUAUUGUUUUCUGGUUUUGAUGAAGGCAACGGUUUAGAAAAUUCCCAUGCAACCCAUCAUCUGCACAACAAUGUUUGCAGUUAAGAGAAUUAUCAUAGGUUUAAGAUGCUCUAACCAUCCGUUUCUCUUUGCCCGUAGGUGGGACCGGGUACGUGUGGCUCCGGCUUGGCCAAAUCUAACAUGAAUCUGGCCUCAGGUCUAUGAUGCAGAGCCUAGUCUAUCUGCAAUUCAUGGAUUAGGCUUGAAAGUUGGACCACUUUCAGACGUGUAGCUGGUCCCUUAGGUGGAACUCAACGUGCAGAUUUGAUCUGUUCGGAGUUUCUUAUAUAUGUAUAUAAUUUCUUAGUUUGGAACCCAUGAUUGACUUGUGGGAUUCAACUCACACGGUUCGUUUUAGCAGAUAUCACUGCAAUCUGCUUUUUCAUCUGUGCAUUAGGAAUAAUUCAUGGAUUAGCAGCAUUUUCCAUUUGUAAGUUAAAUUGACUUGUUCAAAAUAAGCCGGUAUUUACUUUGAUUCUCACUUGAGUAGAGGAUGCCAACUAGUAUGGUUAAUAAUUAUGGGGGUUUGGUCCGGUGAAAUAGAUUGAAGUCAGCCAUUUUGGACCAUUUUCUGCAUCUUAAAGAAAAAUAGUUCGCCAGUAAUUCAAUCCUCAAGUUAUGCCGUUUUCCAUUGGCAUUUAUGGUUAACAAUGCGCCAGAUUUUACUUUUCACGUAUCUCAAAAAAGUAAAUUACUUUUCGUGGCUUGACAGCAUUGUUCAUCAACCCAAAAAAACAUAACCUAGCCGGAAAUCAUAAAUGCUAAGAUCUUCAAACGCAAUACCCAAAAGCUCUUUAUUUGUCUUUUUCUAAAUCUCUUAAGACCGUCUUCGUUCGGGACUUCAUUUUGUAGUUUAUCGUAGCUGAUGAAAGAUCGUUGAGGCACAGUGCCCAGAGUCUUGAGGUAGUUUUUGUUUUCUAAUUUUUUUUGGAUAUAUUAAUUAUGAGUUGCCUGCCAAAGCAAUAAGAAGAAAAAAAUAAAAUAAAAAUUGUUGAGUGAAUGUGCCCGCUGCACAGCUUUUUUUUUUUCCUAGAAAAAGAAAAGAGGGGGGUGAGGAGGACCUCACCCACGUAGCAACUUACACUGGAUCUUCUUUUCACUGAAGAAUGUUUGAUAUGGGUAGAUAAAUUUUACUCAUAUCCUUUCCAUCGGCGGGGUAGCUCUACUAAUGCAGCAAUCUCUUCUACGUGUGAGUACGUCACACCAGCACCACCUAAAUACCGGCAAACUAGAUGGUAACUCCACCGAACAAAUCAGAUGGGGGGCAUUCUGUCCUUGCAUUUAAUCGAUGCCUGCGAAUUUUAAACUUAGGCCACUUUGGUAGUUCCAACUGUGUUACCAUCUCGAUGGUUCUACCCAGCUUUGUUUGUAUGGAAAUGCCACCAAGAGUAAAAGAAACGGCUCACCAGGGAAUCAAAAGGAAACGCCAAAAAGGCAUCCCAAUAAACCACCUGAUCUCGAAUGGCCAGCACGAUUCUUUCGCGGUAGUCUGUCCAUUCAUAGUAUAAAAGAAUCAAAAGGAAACGCCAAAAAGGCAUCCCAAUAAACCACCUGAUCUCCAAUGGCCAACACGAUUCUUUCACGCUAGAGUCCGCGAUAUAAGUCUCCAUUCAUGAUAUAAAACUCCAGUGCACAACCAUCGACAACCCAACAAGCGAACACACAAAACAUCUCCAUCUUCCUCUCCUCCCAAAACAAUAGCAGAAACCAUGCCCAACUCCUCAAACAUGCCCAUCCUCUUCUUCCUUCUACCCACUGCCACGCUCCUCUUUGUGGCCUAUGCCUUUCACAGGCGAAAGCCCAAGCAAACCAACCUCGUCCUCUACGUCCACGACUACUUCAGCGGCGACGACGCCUCCGCCGUCACGGUCGCAGGCAAACUCGGUGCAGCCUCUAACAUCCUGCAGUUCGGCACCGUUGCGGUGGUCGACGAUGUGGUCACCGAGAGGCCUGAAGUGGACUCCAAGGUAAUAGGCCGAGCUCAGGGCUUGUAUAUAAACUCGGCUUUGGAUGGGAUGGCAUUGUACAUGGUCUUCUCGGUGACGUUAACCGAGGGGCAGUUCAAGGGAAGCACGCUGGAGAUCCAAGGAGCCGAUCCGUUUAAGCUCAAGGAGCGCGAGUUUGGAGUUGUAUCUGGGACUGGGUUCUUUCGGUUUGCCAAGGGAUAUGGUAUCAUGGAGACGCAGCACUUGGACGUGGCUACCUUGAGAGCAAUAAUCAAACUCAACUUGACCAUCAGGCAUGAAUAGUGUUUCUGACGCUGUUUUAGUUUCUAUAUUAUAAUUCUCGAUAAUGCCAUGCCUCCGAUCCGAGUUAGUGAGCUCGCGUGUCAACCACCGUAUACUUGUUAAAAUUUAAAUUCUCACAAUUUCAACAAUAUUUACGAUAUUGCAUCAAUUUUAAUAAACUCUAAUCUACAAUAAUAUUUGUUAAAAUUUUCUAGUGGUUUUUCUAUCACGAAAUUCCGGAGCAAGCUAGUUUUUCGAAUCUGUAAUAUAUAUAACUUAUUAUAUAUAUAUAAUAAGUUAAACAACCCAAUAAGCAACAAACUCUUUAAUUAAAUAAAUCAAGUAUAUAAAUAAAUAAUAUUUUUACAGAAAGUAGGCAGAGAAAAUUCUAUCAGCUUCAAACUAAAUUCAGAUAUGCAGUAUAUUUUUACUAAUUAAAUUUUUCUUUAAAUUUUCUUUACGAANNNNNNNNNNNNNNNNNNNNNNNNNNNNNNNNNNNNNNNNNNNNNNNNNNNNNNNNNNNNGGCCGACGGCUUCGGCUACAAGUGCAGUGAAGUGGUCGGAAGAGGUAGAAUAAAGCUGAUAAAUCCAAAACAAGAAAAAGCAGGGCACCUCUUUCUUAGGCAAAAAUCCGGCGGUCACCGGCUAGAAUUAAGGCUCUAAAGACUCUGAAAGAAGGGAAGGAUCAACUAAGGGAUGCCGGGUUCUUACCUAGCUUCCAACGAUGUUUAGCCAUGGCCACGGUGCUGGUGGCAGCCGACGUUCGAGGAGGAGACCGAGAACUGGCGAAUCUCCAACUCAAAGCCUUGAUCUUCUAUGGAAGGUUGAGGAAAGCUUCAUCCCUCUAAUUAGAGCCGGAGGGAAGCACCUGAGUCCCUAUCGGCAUCGGACCACCGGAGAAAAUGUAAAGAAGAUUACUCCUGAUGGGAGUCCAGUUCCACCCCUUAGAAACUAACUGCAAGGAUACUAAGUGCAAAUAACGGAAUAUCCGGCCUUAGUGAACUGGUAGAAAAAACAAGACAGCAGACGGAUACCCAAUUGGAGAUUGGUCCUUGCGCAAAUAUUUCACAGUCCGAAGUGAGGUUCAACACUUUCCUUUUUUCUUCUUCUUUUUAAAGGUGUGAUAGAGCCUGCUAUCCUUCUUCUUAAAAAAAAAAGAAAAAGAAAAAGAAGAAGACAGAGCUUGCUAUCCUGUUGAUCUACAAACAAUUGCAUACUUUGGCUUCAAACCUCCAUCAAAUGUUUUCUUAAAAUUUAAGAGGCGGACAGACAGUUCUUUCUCAGUUACAGCAACAGAAUGUAGUUCUUUACCUGCAAGAGCCUGCAAAAUUUCUAGGGGAAGGGGCUUUCCUUCUUUUGCCAGGAAUAGACAACGACUUCUUGUAGAGGAUUUGUGAAAGCAUGGCGGCCAAAUCUCGAUCUACGCUUUCCUAGUGAUAUGCUACAUGUAACCGGUUACGUGCACGUAGUCAUUUCGUGUUUUAAUUCGAUUUUGAUGGAUAGCGAUGCGUUUCUACAACUACUAAUGAAGCUAACUACCGGCAAACAUCUAAGAAAAGUAUUCUCCAUUAGGUCAAAUGGUGCAGCUUUCAGGCUGCAAGUCCAUUUAAUAGUUCCCCAAAGUUCUGACUAAUCGGUUAAUGCUUUUUUGCCUCGAUUAAUUGAACAAGCACUAAUGCCAGAGGUUUAAGGCACCUCACUUUACUAGAUUGCUGUCUUCUAGUGUUCAUUGAAGUCAUAUCCUUCUACCAUUGGAAUAAAAAAAAACAGCAUGUUGAUUGCAUAUUAGAUUUUGAAAAGGGUCUUGAAAUGGUGUAAUCGAUUAAAUAUGGGGACCGAAUGCCCCUCGCCUGAUUUAUCCGGUGAAAUCGCUAUCAGGUCUGCCGGUACUAAGAUGGUGCUGGGGUGACUUAUUCACGCGCGGGUUCAUCCGUGCUGGUAGAGAGGGUAUGAGUCUUUCUACUCGCGUCGGACAUUCUCUGAUGGAAGGAGGCUCAGUGGAGACUUGCUAUACAGGUGGAGUUAAUUCUCCUCCUCCCCCUCUUUGUUAAACAAAAAAAAUUAAAAUCUAAUCUUUCAAUUCAUCCUCUUGGGUUUUUAACUCCAGUCUAAAGUUUAUUUUUCUAAAAGCACGACUGUCAGCAUCUGGCUUGAUAGCAAUAAAGGAACCAAACUUGUGGGAAUUAAUUCUCAACCAUACGGCCAACUCUCAAACCGUCUCCAGCAGAUUGGCAACCACCCUCUUAAUUAUGCUAUCCUCUUCUUUGCCGCUUUAUUAUUUUGUCCAUCUCUCCUCCCUCCAUCUUGACCGAUUGCAGGAAAUAUUAAGAUCAAAAUGAACUUUCUUUAGCCUCCACUUUCUUUGCAUUGGUUAAUUAUAAGACAAUCUAUAAGGUAAAUAAAAAACGGUAACUUUAUGGUUGCUUUAAGUCGUUGAAGCUUAAGGCAUCUGAACUCAUGCUAUCAUCUUUUAUCAUUUUUGGAUUUUUAACAUUGAUAGCAUGCUUGUGUAGUUACACAUCCAGCUAAGGAUGUUUAUACCUUUCACCCGACAGAAAAGAAUGCCUGUCAUAGAUAUCAGGCCUUGAUAUAGGGGCUUAGACCCUUUUGAAAAAUUGCUCUAAAAAUAUGACCCUCUCUUGUUAAGUUUGGAUUUCACCUUUUUGCUUCAUCAGAUUUUUUUUUUUUUCACAUUCUCAUCCCAACAUAUGUGGGCUUACUUUUGAAAGAUGAAGUAUGAAACGCGCCACCAAGGNNNNNNNNNNNNNNNNNNNNNNCACAUUCUCAUCCCAACAUAUGUGGGCUUACUUUUGAAAGAUGAAGUAUGAAAAGGUAAAAUUCAUCGUUCUAAAAAAAAGAAUUUAAUGGUACGACAUUUGGCUUGGGACAAAGCUAGUGACCCUACCACUAUCUUAACUUCUUGACUACGUCAAUCAAUUGCGACAAAGCAUAAAAGCGAACAUUCUUGCCAGAAGUAUUGAGUAGGAGGGCAAGUUAGGCGUGGCGGGGUUUGUUUAGAAGAAAAGCGAUCGUGUUGUGUUGCUUUUGCUCUAGAUCCUGUCAUGACAUAUAAACAACUCAUGCAAAGCUCCUAAAAUUUCUUAAAUUAGGCACAAGUCAAGUUGGCCCAUGACUUGUUGCAUGCACAUUAUGUAGGCAUAGUAUCAAAGUAACAAUUUAAUAUUUCUAUCAAAGUCUUUGAACAAUUAAACUUCAUCAGCAAAACCUAAACAAUACAUGUUUUACAUCCUCGUCAAAUUCAUGCGGACAUAAUUCACUUCGGAAGCAACACAUAACUUUGAUAACAUUGGCAAAAAGCAACUUGCAUGUAUUUUUUUAAUAAAUGGCUCGUACCCAUCUAGCAUGAAUAUAUCUAACAAAAUCAGAAAAUAAAAUUUUUUUAAACUGAAUAGAAAUACUUGCAUGGGUCGUCCAUAAAGUACAACCAGUAUAAUCUGCGAGGCUACCCAGUUUACAAUUUCAUUUGUUUACCUAUAGACACUUUCAUGUCCAAUUAUGCCUUAUUUGGUUUUGACAAAGCUUGAACUAACCAAAAGGUGCCUUCUCCUAUUUUAAUUAAAAACCAAUGGAAUGUAAAAUGGACCCAUCAUGUGGCUUUAGACUUAGCAUAAGUCAUAAUCAAACCUUGCUUUCAGUGGAAAAUCUUCACCGAACACUGAACAGUGUACGUUUUAACGGAUAAAGGGCGCCAACCCGUGGUCCAGCCCAACUACUGUAGGUCCCACCCCGAAUCAGCAGUAAAUCACGGCCGUCCAAGUUAGGGUACUCUUCGUCCCCUGUAAGAGAGCCCCUACUGCAAGAAGGGUUAUCCGUUAAUACCACAAAAUAGUAGGGGUAAUAAUGGAAAUAAACUUAUAAUUUCAACCAACCGCAGCCAGGCUCUAAGAUGGGUAAUGGACCUUAAGGAAGGAGGCUCAGAGGAUUUCAAAUGCCACUUCUUCAUCACUCCUAUUAUCAGAGCAAAGCUAUGAGCAGCAUGGGAGAGCAUCUUUCAUACGAGGCACAUUCUAGAUGCAGAGUAUAUUAUCUGGAGGGCGAUUCGGUCUCUGUGAUCGAGAAGAUCUACAGACGACUCUCCGAGUUGGAUGAACAGUCCUUGCUUCUUGACAUACGACGGAUAGUAGAGGACUAUAGCUCUUUCAGGAUCUUGCAUAUGUAUCGAAAGGCUAACACAACUGCUGACUGGGUGGCCUUCUAUGCGGCGUACCACUUGAAAAUUUUUUUUGAAAAAAUUAGGCGAAUAUUUACUAAACGCUUAGCUAGCUUUUUUAUUUUAUUUUUUUUACUGUACUCACAUACAUUUGCUAUGUGAGGAGCCAGUGUACCAAAAAAAAAAAAA
rnacentral:lncRNA from 1 species